rnacentral:lncRNA from 1 species
CUGGUACGUUCCACGAGCAGCCUAAAGCCCUAACCACCUUCUAGUUUCUACAGCACCUUCCCUCAGCUAGCGAUUCCCGGUGCUCCGCGCGCCGGGCAUCGCAAUUGCGGCUGCUCUCCUCUUCCAUCCAGCCGAAGCUGCCACCUGACUAUGUGAGCUUUGUGUGUGUGUGUGUGCCUGUUUAUUCUCCGCAGUGGAAGCGGGGAGGACAAAGUGAGGGCGGCGGCAGUUGCGACGGAUGUCGGACCUACAGGAACACUUUGCGGAGGGCCGCAGCAGCGAAGGUGCGUGCCUUGCCGUCGAGGGCGGUGGAGGCGGUCAAAAUGGGCUCCGCCGCGGAGGUGGAGCAGGAGGAGGCGGAGGUAGCCGCGGCCGCGGACGGCGUCGUCGUCGAGGACCACUACGGCGAGGACAGCGCCACCGAGGAGCUGCCCAUCAUGCCCUGGGCCUUCUCCGUCGCAAGGUGAGCCGGCUAAUCGCGGCAGGGGGUGUGAAUUCGGGAAUUGGAUCUGGAUGGGCGGGCGGAGGUCACGAUGCGCCGAUCUGGGUUUUAUUUACUUUUGCUUGUUUGGUUCAGACUCUGGUGGUGAUCCGGGUUUGGUAAGGGGUUUCGUCCGCGUGAUGCUGACAGCUGACGUGUCUAGGAGUGUAAAUGCUUUGGGGCUCUGGCUGUCUAGCUCUACCCCAAUCUAAUUGCUUGUUCUAUUAUUAGUGCACGCUUGCUUGACUAGCUGCCUUCACCAUUUAGUUUGCCUUUUAUUUUAGUUUCAAUAAUAAUUUGUCGAAACGUGCUUCAGCUUAGCUAAGAAGCUCCAGUCUGAUAUGGUCUAGAUUUGUUAAAUCACCAUAUGCCACAUGGGAGUUUCUAUCAAGUUUCAGUCUCGGAAUGUAGUGUUGUAGUAUUCUGAAUUCAGAAUGUUUUUUGGCGCUGAUGUAAGAAUUCUGGAUCGGGUUGGAGUCAUACUAAUUGCUUGUUUUAUUAUUAGUGCACCCUUGAUUGACUUGCUGCACCGAAGGCAACUUUACCAUUUAGUUUGCCUUUUAUUUUAGUUUCAAUAAUAAUUUAUCGAAAUGUGCUUCAGCUUAGCUAAGAAGCUCCAGCCUGAUAUGGUCUAGAUUUGUUAAAUCACCAUAUUUCACAUGGGAGUUUCUAGCAAGUUUCUGCCUCGAAUGUAGUAUUGUAGAAUUCUGCAUUCAGAAUGUUUUUUGGUGUUGAUGUAGAAUUCUCAAUUGGGUUGGAGUCAUAGGUGAGCUCAUGCUGAUUUAGGUCCAGAGUCGUUGAGCAAAGCCGGGAAUUGCCUGCUUUGCUUUGGGAUUUCCAUAUUUCAUGCAAGUAUAUUCUAAGCUGGACCACAGGGAUACGAAUUUGUCUUGUUUCUUCCACUACCCCUUCUACAGUUGGAAAUGGAUAUUAAGCUGGAACCAUAUUAUGGUAAUAUAUUACCAAAUUGAAUGUCUUUUCUGUGACAUCUGGGCUCUAGAAUGUUUACCGCUUGUUGCAAGGCUUUUCUUUGAAUCUACAACCAUAAUUCCUUCCAAUAGAUAUGUUUCCUUCAGUUGGUUGAAAAAUAUGCUGAGCAGUCUUAUUUCUACAUCAGCGGUUACACCCUCUUGAGGGAUCCACAUCACAACAAGGGUCUUGCUUUCACGGAGAAGGAGAGGGAUGCACACCACUUGCGUGGGCUGCUUCCUCCUGCAGUUGUUCCUCAAGAACUCCAAGUAUGGAGCUAGAACAGUAUCUGUUGUUAUGCUGACCUUUCUUUCUUCUUUUUACUGAAGAUCAAUUUAAUGUGAUUUGUAGAUUAAGAAGAUCAUGCACAACCUGCGGCAGUACCAGGUCCCUUUGCAGCGCUAUAUGGCCAUGAUGGACCUUCAGGUAACCCCAGUUUAUCCUUUCUACUCUCAUAUGAAAGCUUGUGAUGGCCAGCGUAAUUGAUAUGGGAUGCUCAGUUAUAAUGAAUGGUUGGUUGCAUCAUUGUGCUUAACACCUCCUGUUUUCAGGAGAGGAACGAGAGGCUUUUCUACAAGCUUUUAAUUGAUAACGUGGAGGAGCUGCUUCCUGUGGUUUAUACACCAACUGUAGGUGAGGCCUGCCAGAAGUAUGGGUCCAUCUUUCGACAACCACAGGGUCUGUAUGUCAGCUUGAGGGACAAGUAUGUUAUCCUAUGUUUGCUUCAACUUUACAAUAAUAUACAGCUGUCUACCAUCUACAUAUUUGAUCUGGACUGACCACGAGGUGCAUUCUAGAGGGAAGGUCCUAGAAGUUCUAAGGAACUGGCCACAUAGGAACAUUCAAGUUAUCUGUGUUACUGAUGGUGAGCGAAUCUUGGGACUUGGAGAUUUGGGUUCUCAGGUAUGAUUGUCUCAUUAGUUGCUUAUUACUUGAAGGCCUUUGUUUAUAUUAUACUUAAUCCUUCUACAGGGAAUGGGAAUUCCUGUAGGCAAACUUGCUCUAUACACUGCUCUUGGAGGAGUUCGUCCAUCAGCUGUAAGCGAUCAUAUCGUUUGUCUCCUUUUGGUUGCAUCUCUUGUAAUGGUCCUGUAUGUUUGGUACCAACAAACAACUAAGUUAUCUCAAUUGGCGAAUGCUAAAUUAUGUGCAGUGUUUGCCUAUCACAAUCGAUGUUGGCACAAAUAAUGAGAAACUGCUUAAUGAUGAGUUUUACAUUGGACUCCGGCAAAAACGUGCAACUGGCGAGGUAUGUAAUUGUGUCGAGAUUGCUGGGAGUUAGGAAUUGGCAAAAUAUGUGACAUGUGACACUUGAGAUCUUAUCUGUGCAUUUUCCAUGAUGGCAGGAGUAUCAUGAGCUUAUGGAAGAGUUCAUGGCUGCUGUUAAGCAAAUCUACGGCGAGAAAGUCCUCAUUCAGGUGAGUUAGACUCAACAUUGUACUUCUGCUAUGUCAGAUCAAUUUACUCUUUAUCCCAAAAUGUAACACUGUAAAAUUUGGACAGUUUGAGGACUUCGCGAAUCAUAAUGCUUUUAAUUUGCUUGCAAAAUAUAGCAAGAGCCAUCUUGUUUUCAAUGAUGACAUCCAGGUAAAUGGAACCCCCCAUGGUUUUUUAUUUUUAUUUUUACCGAUACCAGGGGGGCAACCUUAAUUAGUUGGGAUCAUCAUCCUUCAGUUUACUGCCUUUUGUGAUUGUACUGAUUUGGAAAUAUGAAUUUUUGCAGGGCACAGCAUCAGUGGUCCUUGCAGGUUUGUUAGCAGCACUCAAGGUGGUUGGUGGGACCUUGGCAGAGCACACUUAUUUAUUCCUUGGUGCUGGGGAGGUUAGUUAAAACAUGUCCUGGUGAACUGUUAUUUCCUUUGUCACCAACUGUCGAAGCCUACUAUAACUAGUAUCUUUUGAAUUGAGAUUGUGACCAUUAGUAAGAAUCUUUUUUGGUUGAGGAAAGUAGACCCAUAGAUAAGAUUCUGAUAAUGUAUUUGAUUUCAGGCUGGAACUGGUAUUGCAGAACUCAUUGCUCUUGAGAUUUCAAAACAGGUAACUAAGCUACAUAGUUUUAGUAUCUGAAUGUGUGGUAGGUUUCCUUAGUCCUAGUUCUUACUCAUACAUGUAUUGGUUGGAUCAAUUUAUAGACGUCGGCUCCAAUUGAAGAGUGCCGCAAGAAGAUUUGGUUGGUGGACUCAAAGGUGUGUAACCAAAGGAAAAUGUGUUGUUUCUAGUGCAACAUUUGCUGACCUGUUUAUCUGACGUCCUAACACGAUAUUUUGUAUAUAGGGUUUGAUUGUUGACUCUCGUAAAAACUCCGUUCAGUCAUUCAAAAAACCUUGGGCACAUGAGCAUGAGCCCUUGACAACUUUGUACGAUGCUGUUCAGGUAGUCACGAUCACGUGCAUUUAAGAUUGUGCUGAGCAGCUGCUGCCUUCACUUAAAAGCUGUCAUGUUUGUGCUGUUUCCAUAAAAAAAAAAGAAUUUACUAACCUUUCUCAUAUCUUCCAGUCCAUCAAACCUACAGUUCUGAUUGGGACGUCUGGAGUUGGAAGAACAUUCACAAAAGAAGUUGUUGAGGCCAUGGCUUCCUUCAAUGAGGUGAUUUUUUCCCUGUUUUCUGACAUUGUUGGUGGUAUGUUGUGAGGAUGGAAAGCUAACCUCUGGUAUUGCUAAUUAUAAAUGCAGAGGCCUAUCAUCUUUUCACUGUCAAAUCCAACCUCUCAUUCUGAAUGUACUGCUGAAGAAGCAUAUAACUGGACUCAGGUGAGCUGCCUAAUCGCGUUUUUGUGCAUUUGUCUGGCUACCAUUUUGAAUGUAGCCAUCACUAGAAGUUUAUCUGUGUUUUCAGUUUACUGUUUAUUAAAAUGUGGUCUAAUUGGACCAAAAAUAAAAGAAGUGGCUGAUUUCUAGGAAGAAACAUACUCUGUAGUUUGCAACUCAUAUCUCUUUAUUUGCACUCUACGUUCAGGGUCGUGUAAUAUUUGCCAGUGGCAGUCCAUUUGACCCUGUGGAGUACGAUGGGAAGGUUUUUGUACCUGGACAGGUAGAAGUGUCUAAUAUCAAUGCAAAAUCUUGCUGGUGUAAGCACCUGGAAAAACAUAACAAGUUGUUUGUUGCUAACUCAACUGUGCUAUUUGCAACAGUCGAACAACGCCUACAUUUUCCCUGGAUUUGGCCUCGGUCUUGUUAUCUCUGGAGCCAUCCGUGUCCACGAGGACAUGCUUCUUGCCGCCUGUAAGUACCUCCCGUCCAAACGGAAACCUUGAUGAGACUAGGGACCAAAUCUCAUGUUCCGUUCGUUCAAACAGCGGAAGCACUAGCUGCUCAGGCCACACAGGAGAACUUCGACAAGGGAUCAAUCUUCCCGCCCUUCACCAACAUUAGAAAGAUCUCUGCGCGCAUUGCCGCAGCCGUGGCUGCAAAAGCUUAUGAACUCGGUACGCACGUGCCCUCUGUUUUGCUUUGCAGUGCAGACACCAUUCCACACCUUGGCGUUCACCACACCGUCACUUCCCUCUGCAGGUUUGGCGACCCGUCUGCCUCCCCCAAGGGACCUGGUGAAAUAUGCACAGAGCUGCAUGUACACUCCUGUCUACCGUAACUACCGGUAGUGCUGCUGGGAUCAAUUCUGCAGUAAUAAAAUAUGUCGACGCAGAUGAUCCUGCAAUGUUGUAGUUUAUUUUUUCAUUUGUUGGCCCUGCUGCUGACCACCUUUGUGGCUGCUAGACACUGUACCUGUCUAUGCAUAUAUGAUACUGGAACAUUUGGCGCGCUGUGGGCGUCCCUGUCAUGAGAUCAAUUGCAGAAAUAAAAUGCAAUUUAGAUUUGAGCACCAAAAUAAAAAUAGUAAUAAUACACAAGUGAGGCAAGCAUAUGUUGAAUCUGAUUUGCUUCACCUUCGAUUAGAGAUGACAAUGAGUAAAUACCCGUCGGGCAUUACUAUUUCAUACUCACGGCAAAAAGAUAACUCUCUCUGGUGGUAUAGAUUUAAAAACAUGAUUUUAGAAUAGUACUGUUUUUCAAAAAAACAUGAUUUUAGAAUAGUACUGUUUUAAGAUUUUACGACAGAACUGUUGUAUUUUUUUUACAUCCCUCUACACAUUUAGUAAUCCGUUUGAAGAUAAAGUAUCUCAAAGCAUGGUAUUUAGUAUACAUAUGCAAGGUUAGUCAUAGAUAAACUUUGGGUUAGAGUAGUUUCAAAUACUCCAAAAAUAUCAUGGUAUCUACAAAACCAUGGUAUUCAAGACAGAGUUUUUUUACAAUGUAGCCAAACACCUCUUAGCAAAAAAUACUAUGGUAUUUUUCAAUGCUACGGUUUUACCUCAAAACUCCAAAAAAAAAAUUGCAUCCAAACACCCCUUGAGUGCAGCGUGUAUCUAAAUACCAACAUGCAGCAAAAUGAUCGAUAUCACCUCACAAGCCUAUGUCAUGUUUGGUUCUGGCUAACUCUGUUACAAUUUAUCUAAGGUUCGUCGGUAAAAUUGGAAAACUAAUUGAUGGCAGAUCGUCAGUGAGGGUACAUCAUGCACCCCUUUGGUUCUCGGCUAACUCUGGUACAACUUGUCUAAGGUUACUCGGCCAAAUUAGAAAAUUAACCUAACGACAGAUCGUUAAUGAGGUACAAGAUGCAUCCCUUUUAGGUUUGGCAGGGGCUUAGACGAUCACCGUGAGUUCAGGAUCCCACGGAGACUUGGGGCACUUUGGGUUAAUGGGAGAGAACGUAGUGUGGAUGAAUGUAGGAUGCAUGAAGUACACUAGAUUUAGAGAGGUUCGGACCGUUGGAGCGUAAUACCCUACGUCCUCUUGGUUACUAGUUGUAUUGCUCGUAAGUAGAAAAUGGUAAGUGUUCGUUUGUACGUUUGGACGUGUGUGAUCAGUUAUCCCUUAGAAGGGAUCCCCUCUUCCUUUUAUAGUCCAAGAGAUAGGGGUUACAUGAUGUGUGAGUUGGCUUAGCACCAGACGUCUCCUAUUGUUGCUAUUGAAGGUGUAAUCGUCCAUCCAUAGCUUUUUGGCAGCGUCGGCUCCACAUCGUGGGUGGUCGUUGUCUCCCGUACGUCGUGGAUGGAGGAUGUUGUCUCUAGACGUGACGGUCGUUGUCCAUGUGUGCACUCGCAAUGGUGCACUAUUGACACACCUAGGACGAUCGAGCCUAACACCCUGCAUGGUGUUGGAUGUGGGCACGAUCAUGCUUAUCUUGUCACACAGGCACAAUCACACUCUAACUCCACCAACUCCUUGACUAUCCAUGCUUGGUAGCAAGGACACAUGGCAUGCCUAGAUCCCCCAGGGGCGCUGGGGGGCCUGGUGUGGGGGAUAGAUAUCCCCCGGGUCCACUAAAAGAGUAAAAGACCUCACGAAAGGCCCAAGGGCCCAAUAAAUCGUAAGGUCAUUCUUUCGUGGGCCUGGGGGGAGACAACCAGCAAAGCAGAUCGACAUGAGGCCGGAUCGGUGCAAACCCGGGCGACCCACAACGUCGAGCGAGUGACCACAACAGAGAUCCGACUUUCCCGCGCUGGAGCCCCCAUGCAGCGGAGCCAUGCGAGGAUAAGUCGGCAGAACUAGAAGGAGAUAAACUCAAGCAGUUCACUAUAUUUUAGCUACACGUUGUUAUCAUAUCCACAUGUAUUGCCCCACGGUCGAGUAUAUAAGGCCUAGGGGGCAUCCCUUCAGAACGAUCAACCCUAUUACUUAUCCACCCACACCAACUCUCUGUAUUCUCAAUCCAGAGAGCUCUCUUGUAACCGCGUUCACCGAGCAUACUCACUAGGACGUAGGGUGUUACGCGUCUCUAAGCGGCCCGAACCUGUAAACCUUGUCCACUGUCCCUCGUGCAAUCAGCACGAACCAUUUUGCUACAGUCGUCGACACCGUCCUACUCCUAAAAACACCUUGAGGGGCAACCCCGGGUGUGCGGUCGGACCCAAAACACCGACACCUGGGGCAUGUAACACCCCUAAAUCCCAUUGUGAUCGAUGGAGUGCGUCGACGUAGGAGGGCAUUGGUUCCAAUUGGAGACCCAGGACUCGUGGCACGACCGGACCCUGUCAAGGACGAGAAUUGCUAGUGAUACGUGUCGUAACCAUACUUUCAUAACAAAUUGGCUAGGCCUCCCAUAGGGCGGGGUUUGGUAGCCAUGUGGGGGGGGGGGUAAUGUCCACAUAUUCUUUUCCUCAUAGUUGGGUCUUCUCGAUAUGACACACCAUGAUGGUGGGGGUUUCAACUCUAACAUUGUGCUGGUCAGUUAUGUUGUAGCACAUGGGUUACCUAUACCUAGGGACGCUUGAAAGGGAAUUAUGCUUACACCUAUUUUCCUAAUUGAUUUUGGUGGUUGAAUUGCCCAACACAAAUAAUUGGACUAACUAGUUUUGCUUUAGUGUAUAAGUUAUACAGGUGCCAAAAGGUUCACACUUAGCCAAUAAAAGACCAAGAAUUGGGUUCAGCAAAGAGAGCAAGGGAUAACCUAAGGCAGCCCUGGCCUGGCGCACCGGACUGUCCGGUGCGCCACCGGACAGUGUCCGGUGCACCAGGGGACUUCACGCUGAACUCCUCACCUUCGGGAAAAUCCAGAGGCGCUCCGCUAUAAUUCACCGGACUGUCCGGUGUACACCGGACAGUGUCCGGUGCCCCAGAGGAGAGCGACUCUGGAACUCGCCAGCUUCGGGAAUUCGCUCCGCUAUAAUUCACCGGACAUGUCCGGUGUACACCGGACUGUCCGGUGAGCCAGCGGAGCAAUGGCUACCUCGCGCCAACGGUCACCUGCAGAAGCAAUUAAUGCGCGCCAGAGCGCGCAGAAGUCAGGCACGCGCGAAAUGGCGCACCAGACACUCUACAGUACAUGUCCGGUGUGCCACCGGACAUCCAGGCGGGCCCAGUAGUCAAAGCUCCAACGGUCGGAACCCAACGGCCUGGUGACAUGGCUGGCGCACCAGACACUGUCCGGUGUGCACCGGACUGUCCGGCGCACCAUGCGACAGACAACCUCCACCAAACGGCUAGUUUGGUGGUUGGGGUUAUAAAUACCCCCAACCACCCCACAUUCAAGUAAUCCAAGUUUUCAACCUUCCAACCACUUACAAGAGCUAGGCAUUCAAUACAAGACACACCCAAGUGAUCAAAUCCUCUCCCAAUUCCACAAAAGCUUUAGUGAUAAGUGAGAGUGAUUUGUUGUGUUCCUUUGAGCUCUUGCGCUUGGAUCACUUUCUUCUUUCUCAUUCUUUCUUGUGAUCAAUACUCAAUUGUAACCAAGGCAAAGAGACACCAAUUGUGUGCUGGUCCUUGCGGGAAAGUUUUGUUCCCGGUUGAUUUGAGAAGAGAAAGCUCACUCAGUCCGAGGGACCGUUUGAGAGAGGGAAAGGGUUGAAAAAGACCCGGCCUUUGUGGCCUCCUCAACGGGGAGUAGGUUUGCGAGAACCGAACCUCGGUAAAAACAAAUCCGCGUGUCACACUCUUUAUUCGCUUGCGAUUUGUUUUGCACCCUCUCUCGCGAACUCGAUUAUAUUUCUAACGCUAACCCGGCUUGUAGUUGUGAUUAACUUUGUAAAUUUCAGUUUCGCCCUAUUCACCCCCUCUCUAGGCGACUUUCAAUUGGUAUCAGAGCCCGGUGCUUCAUUAGAGCCUAACCGCUCGAAGUGAUGUCGGGAGAUCACGCCAAGAAGGAGAUGGAGACCGGCGACAAGCCCGCUACAAGCCACGGGAAAGCUUCAUCAGGAGAGUCCCGCAACAAAGGGAAAGGGAAGGAGAAGAAACCCUCUUCCCAUAAGUCGCAUCGGAGUGGGGACAAGAAAAAGAAGAUGAGGAAGGUGGUCUACUACGAGACCGACACCUCAUCGCCAUCUACCUCCGGCUCCGACGCGCCUUCCGUAACUUCUAAGCGCCAUGAGCGCAAGAAGUUUAGUAAGAUCCCCUUACACUAUCCUCGUACUUCUAGACAUACUCCAUUACUUUCCGUUCCAUUAGGCAAACCGCCAACCUUUGACGGUGAAGAUUAUGCUAGAUGGAGUGAUUUAAUGAAAUAUCACCUAACCUCACUCCACAAAAGUAUAUGGAAUGUUGUUGAGUUUGGAGCACAGGUACCAUCCGUAGGGGAUGAGGAUUAUGAUGAGGACGAGGUGUCCCAAAUCGAGCACUUCAACUCCCAAGCCACAACCAUACUCCUCGCCUCUCUAAGUAGGGAGGAGUACAACAAGGUGGAAGGAUUAAAGAGCGCCAAGGAAGUUUGGGAUGUGCUCAAGACCGCGCACGAGGGUGAUGAACUCACCAAGAUCACCAAGCGGGAAACGAUCGAGGGGGGGGGGGCUCGGUCGCUUCCGUCUUCGCCAAGGGGAGGAGCCACAAGACAUGUACAACCGGCUCAAAACCUUGGUGAAUCAAGUGCGCAACCUCGGGAGCAAGAAAUGGGAUGACCACGAGGUGGUUAAGGUUAUUCUAAGAUCACUUAUUUUCCUUAACCCUACUCAAGUACAAUUAAUUCGUGGCAAUCUUAGAUAUACACUAAUGACUCCCGAGGAAGUAAUCGGGAAUUUUGUGAGCUUUGAGUUUAUGAUCAAAGGCUCAAGGAAGAUCAACGAGCUUGACGGCCCCUCCACGUCUGAAGCACAACCGAUCGCAUUUAAGGCGACGGAGGAGAAGGAGGAGGAGUCUACACCAAGUAGAACACCCAUCAACGCCUUCAAGCUCGACAACAAGGAAAUGGCGCUUGUCAUCAAAAGCUUUCGCCAAAUCCUCAAGCAAAGGAGGGGGAAAGACUACAAGCCCCGCUCCAAGAAGGUUUGCUACAAGUGUGGUAAGCCCGGUCACUUUAUAGCAAAAUGUCCGAUUUCUAGUGACAGUGACAGGGGUGACGACAAGAAGGGGAGAAGAAAGGAGAAGAAUAGAUACUACAAGAAGAAGGGCGGCGAUGCCCAUGUUUGUCGCGAGUGGGACUCCGACGAAAGCUCUAGCGACUCCUCCUCCGACGAGGACGCCGCCAACAUCGCCGUCACCAAGGGACUUCUCUUCCCCAACGUCAUCCACAAGUGCCUCAUGGCAAAGGACGGCAAAAAGAAGGUUAAAUCCAAAUCCUCCACUAAUAUGAGUCCUCUAGUGAUGAUAAUACUAGUGAUGAGGAAGAUAAUUUGCGUACCCUUUUUGCCAACUUAAACAUGCAACAAAAAGAGAAAUUAAAUGAAUUAAUUAGUGCCAUCCAUGAGAAGGAUGAUCUCUUGGACACCCAAGAGGACUUCCUAAUCAAGGAAAAUAAAAAGCAUGUUAAAUUUAAAAAUGCUUAUGCUCUAGAAGUUGAAAAUGUAAAAAAUUAUCUAGUGAGCUAAGCAUCUGCCAUGAGACUAUAGACAACCUUAGAAAUGAGAAUGCUAAUUUGUUAGCUAAGGUUGAUUCAAAUGUUCGUAAUGUUUCAAUUCCCAAUCUUAGAAAUGAUAAUGAUGAUUUGCUUGCUAAGAUUGAAGAAUUGAACAUUUCUCUUGCUAGCCUUAGAGAUGAAAAUGAAAAAUUGCUUGCUAAGGCUAAAGAUUUUGAUGUUUGCAAUGCUACCAUUUCCGACCUUAGAAGUAAAAAUGAUAUAUUGCAUGCUAAGGUUGUAGAAUUAAAAUCUUGCAAACCAUCUACAUCUACCGUUGAGCACACUUCUAUUUGUACUAGAUGUAGAGAUGUUGAUAUUAAUGCUAUUCAUGAUCACAUGGCUUUAAUUAAACAACAAAAUGAUCAUAUAGCAAAAUUAGAUGCUAAAAUUGCCGAGCAUGAACUUGAAAAUGAAAAAUUUAAAUUUGCUCGUAGUACGCUUUAUAGUGGGAGACGCCCUGGCAUUAAGGAUGACAUUGGCUUCCAAAAGGGGGACAAUGUCAAACUUAAUGCCCCUCCUAAGAAAUUGUCUAAUUUUGUUAAGGGCAAGGCCCCCAUGCCUCAGGAUAACGAGGGUUACAUUUUGUACCCUGCCGGUUAUCCUGAGAGCAAAAUUAGGAGAAUUCAUUCUAGGAAGUCUCACUCUGGCCCUAACCAUGCAUUUAUGUAUAAGAGUGAGACAUCUAGCUCUAGGCAACCAACCAGUGCUAAGUUGCCUAAGAAGAAAACUCCUAGUGCAUCAAAUGAUCAUGACAUUUCAUUUAAAACUUUUGAUGCUUCUUAUGUGUUAACUAACAAAUCCGGCAAGGGAGUUGCCAAAUAUGUUGGGGGCAAGCACAAGGGGUCAAAGACUUGUGUUUGGGUACCCAAAGUUCUUGUGUCUAAUGCCAAAGGACCCAAAACCAUUUGGGUACCUAAAGUCAAGAACUAAACAUGUUUUGUAGGUUUAUGCAUCCGGGGGCUCAAGUUGGAUCAUCGAUAGCGGGUGCACAAACCACAUGACAGGGGAGAAGAAGAUGUUCUCCUCCUACGAGAAAAACCAAGAUCCCCAAAGAGCAAUCACAUUCGGGGAUGGAAACCAAGGUUUGGUCAAAGGAUUGGGUAAAAUUGCUAUAUCACCUGACCAUUCCAUUUCCAAUGUUUUUCUUGUGGAGUCUUUAGAUUACAAUUUGCUUUCCGUUUCUCAAUUAUGUCAAAUGGGCUACAACUGUCUUUUUACUGAUGUAGGUGUCACUGUCUUUAGAAGAAAUGAUGAUUCAAUAGCAUUUAAGGGAGUGUUAGAGGGUCAGCUAUACUUGGUAGAUUUUAAUAGAGCUGAACUCGACACUUGCUUAAUUGCUAAGACUAACAUGGGUUGGCUAUGGCAUCGCCGACUAGCCCAUGUUGGGAUGAAGAAUCUUCAUAAGCUUCUAAAGGGAGAGCACAUUUUAGGAUUAACAAAUGUUCAUUUUGAGAAAGACAGGAUUUGUAGCGCAUGCCAAGUAGGGAAGCAAGUUGGUACUCAUCAUCCACACAAGAACAUCAUGACGACUGACAGGCCACUGGAGCUCCUACACAUGGAUCUAUUCGGCCCAAUUGCUUACAUAAGCAUCGACGGGAGUAAGUACUGUCUAGUUAUUGUGGAUGACUAUUCUCGCUUCACUUGGGUAUUCUUUUUGAAGGAAAAAUCUCAUACCCAAGAAACAUUAAAGGGAUUCUUGAGACGAGCUUAAAAUGAGUUCGGCUUAAGGAUCAAGAAAAUAAGAAGCGACAACGGGACGGAGUUCAAGAACUCUCAAAUUGAAGGAUUCCUUGAGGAGGAGGGCAUCAAGCAUGAGUUCUCUUCUCCCUACACCCCACAACAAAAUGGUGUAGUAGAGAGGAAGAACAGAACUCUAUUGGACAUGGCAAGAACCAUGCUUGAUGAGUACAAGACUUCGGAUCGGUUUUGGGCCGAGGCGGUCAACACCGCCUGCUACGCCAUCAACCGGUUGUAUCUACACCGAAUCCUCAAGAAGACAUCAUAUGAAUGCCUAACCGGUAAAAAGCCCAAUAUUUCAUAUUUUAGAGUCUUUGGUAGCAAAUGCUUUAUUCUUGUUAAAAGAGGUAGAAAAUCUAAAUUUGCUCCUAAGACUGUAGAAGACUUUUUACUAGGAUAUGAUUCAAACACAAGGGCAUAUAGAGUCUUUAACAAGUCCUCUGGACAAGUUGAAGUUUCUUGUGACGUUGUGUUUGAUGAGACUAACGGCUCUCAAGUAGAGCAAGUUGAUCUUGAUGAGAUAGGUGAUGAAGAGGCUCCGUACAUCGCGCUAAGGAACAUGUCCAUUGGGGAUGUGUGUCCUAAGGAAUCCGAAGAGCCUCCAAAUGCACAAGAUCAACCAUCCUCCUCCACGCAAGCAUCUCCACCAAUUCAAAAUGAGGAUGAGGCUCAAGUUGAUGAAGGAGAAGAUCAAGCAAAUGAGCCACCUCAAGAUGACGACAAUGAUCAAGGGGGUGAUGCAAAUGAUCAAGACAAGGAGGAUGAAGAACCAAGGCCGCCACACCCAAGAGUCCACCAAGCAAUUCAACGGGAUCACCUCGUCGACACCAUCCUCGGCGACAUUCAUAAGGGGGUAACCACUAGAUCUCGUGUUGCACAUUUUUGUGAACAUUACUCUUUUGUUUCCUCUAUUGAGCCACACAGGGUAGAGGAAGCACUACAAGAUUCGGAUUGGGUGGUGGCGAUGCAAGAGGAGCUCAACAACUUCACUAGGAAUGAGGUAUGGCAUUUGGUUCCACGUCCUAAUCAAAAUGUUGUAGGAACCAAGUGGGUCUUUUGCAACAAGCAAGACGAGCAUGGUGUGGUGACAAGGAACAAAGCCCGACUUGUGGCCAAGGGAUACUCCCAAGUCGAAGGUUUGGAUUUCGGUGAAACCUAUGCACCCGUAGCUAGGCUUGAGUCGAUUCGUAUAUUAUUGGCCUAUGCUGCUUACCAUGGCUUCAAGCUUUAUCAAAUGGACGUGAAGAGUGCCUUCCUCAAUGGACCAAUCAAGGAAGAGGUCUAUGUUGAGCAACCUCCUGGCUUUGAAGAUAGUGAGUACCCUAACCAUGUUUAUAAACUCUCUAAGGCGCUUUAUGGGCUCAAGCAAGCCCCAAGAGCAUGGUAUGAAUGCCUUAGAGAUUUCCUUUUAGAUAAUGGCUUCAAAGUCGGAAAGACCGAUCCUACUUUAUUUACUAAAACUCUUGAGAAUGACUUGUUUGUAUGCCAAAUUUAUGUUGAUGAUAUUAUAUUUGGGUCUACUAACGAGUCUACAUGUGAAGAAUUUAGUAGGAUCAUGACACAAAAAUUCGAGAUGUCUAUGAUGGGGGAGUUGAAGUACUUCUUGGGAUUUCAAGUGAAGCAACUCCAAGAGGGCACCUUCCUAAGCCAAACGAAGUAUACUCAAGAUAUUCUAAGCAAGUUUGGGAUGAAGGAUGCCAAACCCAUCAAGACACCCAUGGGAACCAAUGGGCAUCUCGACCUCGACACGGAAGGUAAGUCCGUGGAUCAAAAGGUAUAUCGGUCGAUGAUAGGCUCUUUACUCUAUUUAUGUGCAUCUCGACCGGAUAUUAUGCUUUCCGUAUGCAUGUGUGCAAGAUUCCAAGCCGACCCUAAGGAAGCUCACCUUACGGCCGUAAAACGAAUCUUGAGAUAUUUAGUUUAUACUCCUAAGUUUGGGCUUUGGUAUCCUAGGGGAUCCACAUUGGAUUUGAUUGGUUAUUCGGAUGCUGACUGAGAGGGGUGUAAGAUUAAUAGAAAGAGCACAUCGGGGACUUGCCAGUUCUUGGGAAGAUCCUUGGUGUCUUGGGCUUCAAAGAAGCAAAAUUCCGUCGCUCUUUCUACCGCCGAAGCCGAGUAUAUUGCCGCAGGCCAUUGUUGCGCGCAAUUGCUUUGGAUGAGGCAAACCCUUAGGGACUACGGUUACAAAUUAACCAAAGUUCCUCUUCUAUGUGAUAAUGAGAGUGCAAUCCACAUGGAGGAUAAUCCCGUUGAGCAUAGCCGCACUAAGCACAUAGCCAUUCGGUAUCACUUUUUAAGGGAUCACCAACAAAAGGGAGAUAUCGAGAUUGCAUACAUUAAUACUAAAGAUCAAUUAGCCGAUAUCUUUACCAAGCCACUUGAUGAACAAACUUUUAACAAACUUAGGCAUGAGCUAAAUAUCCUUGAUUCUAGGAACUUCUUUUGUUGAUUUGCACACAUAGCUCAUUAAUAUACCUUUGAUCAUGUCUCUUUCAUAUGCUAUGACUAAUGUCUUUUCAAGUCUAUUUCAAACCAAGUCAUAGGUAUAUUGAAAUGGAAUUGGAGUCUUCGGCGAAGACAAAGGCUUCCACUCCGUAACUCAUCCUUCGUCGUCGCUUCGGGCAACUCUCCAUCUUUGGGGGAGAGAGCCUGAGUCCAAAGCAAAAGGACUCCGUCUUUGGUAUAAUCUUCACUCAUUUAUUUAUGACCAAAGGGGGAGAAAGUAAUUCUUAGGGCUCUAAUGACUCCGUUUUUGGCGAUUCAUGCCAAAGGGGGAGAAAGUAGCCCAAAGCAAAAGGACCGCACCACCACCUAAUUUUAAAACUAAGGUUUUUCAAUUGGUAAAUUUCAAUUUGAUAUCUCAUUAUGUUCAAAAAGGGGAGAAAGUAGUAUCUUCAAAAUCAAUAUCUUAAAACCCUCUUGAACACUAAGAGGAGAAUUUCAUUUAGGGAGAGUUUUGUUUAGUCAAAGGAAAAGCAUUUGAAACAGGGGGAGAAAAUUUCAAAUCUUGAAAAUGCUUCGCAAAAUCUUAUUCAUUUACCUUUGACUAUUUGAAAAAAAACUUUGAAAAGGAUUUACAAAAGAAUUUGCAAAAACAAAACAUGUGGUGCAAGCGUGGUCCAAAAUGUCAAAAAUUAAAGAAACAAUCCAUGCGUAUCUUAUAAGUAUUUAUAUUGGCUCAAUUCCAAGUAACCUUUGCACUUACAUUAUGCAAACUAGUUCAAUUAUGCACUUCUAUAUUUGCUUUGGUUUGUGUUGGCAUCAAUCACCAAAAAGGGGGAGAUUGAAAGGGAAUUAGGCUUACACCUAUUUUCCUAAUUGAUUUUGGUGGUUGAAUUGCCCAACACAAAUAAUUGGACUAACUAGUUUUGCUUUAGUGUAUAAGUUAUACAGGUGCCAAAAGGUUCACACUUAGCCAAUAAAAAGACCAAGAAUUGAGUUCAAUAAAGAGAGCAAGGGAUAACCUAAGGCAACCCUGGUCUGGCGCACCGGACUGUCCGGUGCACCAGGGGACUUCACGCUGAACUCCUCACCUUCGGGAAAAUCCAGAGGCGCUCCGCUAUAAUUCACCGGAUUGUCCGGUGUACACCGGACAGUGUCCGGUGCCCCAGAGGAGAGUGACUCUGGAACUCGCCAGCUUCGGGAAUUCGCUCCGCUAUAAUUCACCGGACAUGUCCGGUGUACACUGGACUGUCCGGUGAGCCAGCGGAGCAACGACUACCUCGCGCCAACGGUCACCUGCAGAAGCAAUUAAUGUGCGCCAGAGCGCGCAGAAGUCAGGCACGCGCGAAAUGGCGCACCAGACACUCUACAGUACAUGUCCGGUGUGCCACCGGACAUCCAGGCGGGCCCAGUAGUCAGAGCUCCAACGGUCGGAACCCAACGGCCUGGUGACGUGGCUGGCGCACCGGACAAUGUCCGGUAUGCACCGGACUGUCCGGUGCACCAUGCGACAGACAACCUCCACCAAACGGCUAGUUUGGUGGUUGGGGUUAUAAAUACUCCCAACCACCCCACAUUCAAGUAAUCCAAGUUUUCAACCUUCCAACCACUUACAAGAGCUAGGCAUUCAAUACAAGACACACCCAAGUGAUCAAAUCCUCUCCCAAUUCCACAAAAGCUUUAGUGAUAAGUGAGAGUGAUUUGUUGUGUUCCUUUGAGCUCUUGCGCUUGGAUCGCUUUCUUCUUUCUCAUUCUUUCUUGUGAUCAAUACUCAAUUGUAACCAAGGCAAAGAGACACCAAUUGUGUGGUGGUCCUUGCGGGGAAGUUUUGUUCCCGGUUGAUUUGAGAAGAGAAAGCUCACUCGAUCCGAGGGACCGUUUGAGAGAGGGAAAGGGUUGAAAAAGACCCGGCCUUUGUGGCCUCCUCAACGGGGAGUAGGUUUGCGAGAACCGAACCUCGAUAAAACAAAUCCGCGUGUCACACUCUUUAUUCGCUUGCGAUUUGUUUUGCACCCUCUCUCGCGAACUCGAUUAUAUUUCUAACGCUAACCCGACUUGUAGUUGUGAUUAACUUUGUAAAUUUCAGUUUCGCCCUAUUCACCCCCCCUCUAGGCGACUUUCAACGCUGACAGUGGGGCCAUAAUCACCAACACCGACCACGUAGGCAACGAUGUGAAGGAAGCUAAACUAUCAUGCAUUUCUUGAUUUCUUGGGGCUCAGGUGCCAUCUUUGAGUCUUGUGUGGUUGGACGGUUACAAGAGUAGGCAUAUGCUGGUCAUUUGAGAAGAAUCUUUCAAGUGCUUGAGCACUCACCUUUCCUCCUGCCUUCCCUCGAGAGCCUCACUCCCUUUCGUUGUUUGUCUCCCCCAGCGAUAGCGAUGGUGCCCACCUUGUAGAUGACCAUGCAUUCCAAGUUGAAGGAGUGCAGCGAGCAAGUGCUAGUAGUGUACCAUUUGAUGUUGGUUUGGAUGGACCUAGCAAUGAGCAGCAAGGUGGAGUCGGCCACCUCAUCGGUGAAGGACACCAUGAUGGGAACCAAUGUUGUCUUGGACGUGCACCUUUUGGUGAGGCUAGGGUUCCUAGCCUCAUCCCUCUUGGUGAUGGUGCUGGAGUUCUAUAAGAAAAUGGAUUUCGGUCCAUUUGAUUAUGUGUUUUGUUUGAUGAUCAAGAUAACCUCUUUGCUAAUGAGUUUGUUAGUGUUUAUCUUUAUAGUUUAUAGGAUGUCGUGUGGACUUGGACUAAGGCAUUAAGGAAGAAACACAUCAAAGAAGACAUUAGGAGACCUAUUGAAGACUCACAAAUAUCAAACAAAGUCCAAUACACAAGACUAGAAGAAACCUAAGUAAAGAAUCUCGAAGCAUAGAAGACUCGACAAAUUCUAGGUGCAUUAGACUAGUCUAGUGGUGCACCAGACCGGACAGUGGACCGAACAUGCAGAGAGCGAGUUUUGGCACCCAAGUCUGCUAGGUGCACUAGACCAGUCUGGUGGCGCACCGGACCAGGCACCGAACUGAGCACACAGGGAGCAUAUUCCUAGCACCCGAGCCUACUAGUACACCAGACCAGUCUUGUGUACACCAGUGGUCCACUGGACUAAUAGGCUCAACGGUCGGCAACGACUAGCUUCAACGGCUAUCUGGCAUGGCGGUUCACUGGACAAGUCCGGUGUGCACCAGACCUUUGGCGUGGCGUGGAGAAUCUGUCAGAGCAGUAACGGCUAGCUGACGUGGAAGGACACUAAACCAGUCUGAUGUAACAUAGUUGGCGCAUCGGUCCGGUCCAGUGUGAUGCAGAUAAAGUUGCUUCAUUUCAAUGGUUCUUUUGGGGGCUUGGACUCUAUAUAAACCCCCAAAACCAACCAUUUUAAUGGGUGGGGGCUAAGAAACGUUGCUACUGUGUUGAGACACUAUUCCAAGGCUCCAUACACCUAAAGUGCUUAAUAGAAUCACUUAGUCAUUAGCGUAGGUGCUUUGCUAAAUGCUUAGGUUAGUUAGAUCGCUUAAGUGUGCUUGCUCUAGGUUGCAUCCUAAUUAUUUGAGUAGGGGUUAGACAACCUACAAAACCCCUCGACUCUUGUGUGAGUUUAAUACCCCCAAAAAAUCAUGCUUGGGAUUUAUUAAAAAUAUUCUUUCGAGACCUAAAUAAAUAUGAACUCUAAAAGAUUAUUCUAUGGACUUUGCUAUAUAUUUGGAAAUAGACACUUGUAUUUUCUUAAUGGAGAUUAUAUAUUAGAAAGUAUUUUAUCUUCACAACAGAGUAGUGAUUUGGAAGAACUUCUUUGAACUUCACAUCCAAAAUAAUAUUUUAUUUAAAUUUGAACAAUAUGUGUGUGGCAUAGUUAAAGCGUUUUCUUAAAUAAAAUCAUUAAUAUAUAUAAAAUUAAGCCUUUGUGUUUUAUGCUGGAGUGUUAUAUUGCGCAUAUCUGGUUGAAUUGAAAACUUGAAACCUAUAUUUGAAUUUAAGCUAGGAAUUUGAAAUUUGAACAUCAAAAUGGAAAAGAAAAAACAAAAGCAGUUUAGGAUCGGGUGGGCCCAAUCCUUUGAUGCGCUCGGCUACUGUCCCGCCCUCGGCCCAUGUCGACCAGUCAGCCCAAAUGGACAUUACCACACGCCGGCCCACUACUCCCCUCCGUCAGCCGCCAAGGAAGCCACAUGUGCAUGCCUACUUCCUGCAGCGCUGACAUAUGGGUAAAGAUGCACAACUUCUAGAGAGUGUAAAACAGGUAUCAACCGUGCUCACGGUCAAGAGCGGCUCAUACCCUCACAUGAGUAACUUAUGAAAUUAAACUUAAUCUGCCAUUUGCAUUGCAUUGUGGGAUUUAUUAUUAAUUGUGAUCAAUUAUUUAAUUGGCUUGGUAUUUACUUACACUUAGUAAUCGCUAAAUAAAAUUUUGACCAACACUAAAGAAAUGCUCAGUCUUAACCAUUUUUCCUUGUUAAGCCUUACACUACACAUGAGCCCCACUGUAAGUGAGAUCAUGCAUAUUAUUCCCCACGCUUGCUGAGCAAUGAACAUAUGUGAGCUCACUCUUGCUAUAACCACACUAGGUCAAAGACAGAUGAUGAGGAGCAUGAGGAUGCUACGAUGAAUUCGGAGAUGUCUAAGCCAUCGUCUCCCAGUCAACUAUAAUUUCGGAGGAUCGUUGUCGUCAUAUGAUAUAUUUAUUUAGCUAUUGUGUAUAGAAGCUCUAUUAUAUAAUGAAUAUGCGACAUUGAUUUCUGUACCAUGAGUCAUCAUAUGUGUGAAACUUGAUCCUAGCACUCAUUUUAGACGCGCUCGAGUUUGCCCUUAAAUCUGGGUGUGACAGUGAGCCAUUGUAAUUGUACAGAGUAGGACGAGAGUCUUUCGAGACCACAUCAACCUUGUUUGUUGUGUGUCUGCCAUCGUGUACCAGAGGGAAUGAGGCCCAUGAUGUUUUGACCAGAAGCUCCAUGAUGAAGACGACGGGGGACACUUGAGAGAAAUCGGAAGCAGAGCACCACUUGCAUGUGGAGAAGGCCCGCUUCUAUCUAUGUAAUUAUGUGUCCAGCUGCUUUGCCCUCGCGUGGGCUUGCCUUCUCAUAGGAGGCAGCAACGAGGAUUAGUAAGAACCUUGCAUGGUUCUUGAUACCUCGGUAAAAAUAUCGGCGCAUCAAUAGGAGUUUGCAUCUCUACCUCACUUAAGCUUCUGCAUUUACAUUGUUACCUUUGAUUAUAUGCUUUACUUUUCUUAGCUUAGAAUAUAAGCUAGUUUGGUAGGUUUGGAACUGCUGGAACUAACUAACACAUGGUCAGAUUAGCUCGAACAGUGGGAGGACAAAAAAUAGUUUGAUGCCAGUGAAAGUCGCCUAGAGGGGGGGGGGUGAAUAGGCAAAUCUGAAAUUUAUAAACUUUAAGCACAACUACAAGCCGGGGUUAGCGUUAGAAAUAAAACCGAGUCCGGAAGAGAUGGCAAAAACAAAUCAACCAAGGAAAUAGAGCGGAUGACACGGUGAUUUGUUUUACCGAGGUUCGGUUCUUGCAAACCUACUCCCCGUUGAGGUGGUCACAAAGACCGGGUCUCUUUCAACCAUUUCCCUCUCUCAAAUGGUCACCUAGACCGAGUGAGCUUUUCUCCUUAAUCAAACGGGUCACUUAGACCCCUACAAGGACCACCACAACUUGGUGUCUCUUGCUUUGAUUACAAAGGUGUUGAGAACAAGAAUGGGGAAGAAGAAAAGCGAUCCAAGCGACAAGAACUUAAAUGAACACAAAUAUCUCUCUCACUAGUCACUAAUUGUUUGGAGUGAUCUUGGACUUGGGAGAGGAUUUGAUCUCUUGUUUGUGUCUUGGAGUGAAGUCUAGAGCUCUUGUAUUGAAUGCAAUGGCUGAAAACUUGGAUGCCUUGAAGUGGUGGUGGUUAUUUAUAGCCCCAACCACCAAACCAACUGUUGGGGUUGGGCUGCUGUCGAUGGGCGCACCGGACAGUCCGGUGCGCCAGCCACGUCACCCAACCGUUAGGGUUCGACCGUUGGAGCUCUGACAGCCUGGGGCACCGGACAGUCCAGUGCUCCUUCUGGCGCCUGCUCUGACUCUGCGUGAAUUGUCCGCGCAGUGUAGCGCUUUUCAGGUUUCCGUUGGAGUCGACCGUUGCGCUGUAGCCGUUGCUCCGCUGGCACACCGGACAGUCCGGUGCUACACCGAACAGUCCGGUGAAUUAUAGCGGAGUGGCUUUUCCAGAAACCCAAAGGCGGCGGGUUCGAGUUGAUCCACCUUGGUGCACCGGACACUGUCUGGUGGCACACCGGACAGUCCGGUGCGCCAGACCAGGGCAGCUUUCGGUUUCUUUUGCUCCUUUCUUUUUUAACCCUAACUUGGAUCUUUUUAUUGGUUUGUGUUGAACCUUUGGCACCUGUAGAACUUAUAAUCUAGAGCAAACUAGUUAGUCCAAUUAUUUGUGUUGGGCAAUUCAACCACCAAAAUCAUUUAGGAAAAGGUUUGACCCUAUUUCCCUUUCAAUCUCCCCCUUUUUGGUGAUUGAUGCCAACACAAACCAAAGCAAAUAUAUAAGUGCAAAAUUGAACUAGUUUGCAUAAGUCAAGUGCAAAGGUUGCUUGGAAUUAAACCAAAUUAUACUUUCAUAAGAUAUGCAUGGAUUGCUUUCUUUCUUCUAACAUUUUUGGACCACGCUUGCACCACUUGUUUUGUUUUUGCAAAUUCUUUUGGAAAUUCUUUUCAAAGUCUUUUUGCAAAUAGUCAAAGGUAAAUAAAUAAGAUUUCGAGAAGUAUUUUCAAGAUUUGAAAUUUUCUCCCCCUAUUUUAAAUGCCUUUCCUUUGACUAAACCAAAAAUCCUCCUUAAUGAAAUUAUCCUCUUAGUGUUCAAGAGGGUUUUUAUAAUUUGAAAGAAUACAAUAUUUUAGAUACUAAUAUUUUAAAAAACUCCUCCUUAAAAUAUAGAUACCAAAUGAGAUAGAAUUUCUUAGAGGAAUACUAAUUUGAAAUAUACCAAUUGAAAAAACAUUAAAACCUUUAUCUCGAAAUUUUUUGAAAUUGGCGUGGUGGUGCGGUCCUUUUGCUUUGGGCUAAUACUCUCUCCCCCUUUGGCAUUAAUCGCCAAAAACAGAGUCUUUAGAGCCCUUUUACUUUCUCCCCAAUGGUACGAGUAAUGAAUAUGAGUGAAGAUUAAACCAAAGUGGAGAGCGGUGCGGAGUGACGGCGAAGGGUAAAUAAUACCGAUAGAGUGGAGUGGAAGCCUUGUCUUCGCCGAAGACUCCAUUUCCCUUUCAAUCUAUGACUUAGCAUAAGAAUUUUCUUGAAAACACAUUAGUCAUAGCACAUGAAAGAGAGAUGAUCAAAAGUAUAUAAAUGAGCUAUGUGUGCAAAGUAUCAAUCAAAAUUCCGAGAAUCAAGAAUGUUUAGCUCAUUCCUAAGUUUGAUAAAGGUUUUCUCAUCUAGUGGCUUGGUAAAGAUAUCGGCUAAUUGUUCUUUGGUGCUAACAUAAGCAAUCUCGAUAUCCCCCCUUUGUUGGUGAUCCCUCAAAAAGUGAUACCGAAUGGCUAUGUGCUUAGUGCAACUGUGUUCAAUGGGAUUAUCCGCCAUGCGGGUUGCACUCUCAUUAUCACAUAGGAGAGGGACUUUGCUAAAUUUGUAGCCAUAGUCCCUAAGGGUUUGCCUCAUCCAAAGAAAUUGCGCGCAACAAUGGCCUGCGGCAAUGUACUCGGCUUCGGUGGUAGAAAGAGCUACUGAAUUUUGUUUCUUUGAAGCCCAAGACACCAGGGAUCUUCCCAAGAACUGACAAGUCCCUGAUGUGCUCUUUCUAUCAAUUUUACACCCUGCCCAAUCAGCAUCCGAAUAACCUAUUAAAUCAAAGGUGGAUCCCUUGGGGUACAAAAGACCAAACUUAGGUGUAUGAACUAAAUAUCUCAAGAUUCUUUUCACGGCCCUAAGGUGAACUUCCUUAGGAUCGGCUUGGAAUCUUGCACACAUGUAUAUGGAAAGCAUAAUAUCCGGCCGAGAUGCACAUAAAUAGAGUAACGAUCCUAUCAUCGACCGGUAUACCUUUUGAUCUACGGAUUUACCUCCCGUGUCGAGGUCGAGAUGCCCAUUGGUUCCCAUGGGUGUCUUGAUGGGCUUGGCAUCCUUCAUUCCAAACUUGGUGAGUAUGUCUUGAAUGUACUUAGUUUGGCUGAUGAAGGUGCCCUCUUGGAGUUGCUUCACUUGAAAUCCUAGGAAAUACUUCAACUCCCCCAUCAUAGACAUCUCGAAUUUUUGAAUCAUUAUCCUACUAAACUCUUCACAAGUAGAUUUGUUAGUAGACCCAAAUAUGAUAUCAUCAACAUAAAUUUGGCAUACAAACAAAUCAUUUUCAAUGGUUUUAGUAAAGAGUGUAUGAUCGGCUUUUCCGACUUUGAAGCCAUUAGUGAUAAGAAAAUCUCUUAGGCAUUCAUACCAUGCUCUUGGGGCUUGCUUGAGCCCAUAAAGUGCCUUUGAGAGUUUAUAGACAUGAUUAGGGUACUCACUAUCUUCAAAGCCGGGAGGUUGCUCAACAUAGACCUCUUCCUUGAUUGGUCCAUUGAGGAAGACACUCUUCAUGUCCAUUUGAUAAAGCUUGAAGCCAUGGUAAGUAGCAUAGGCAAGUAAUAUACGAAUUGACUCAAGCCUAGCUACGAGUGCAUAAGUUUCACCGAAAUCCAAACCUUCGACUUGUGAAUAUCCCUUGGCCACAAGUCGGGCUUUGUUCCUUGUCACCACACCAUGUUCAUCUUGCUUAUUGCGGAAGACCCACUUGGUUCCUACAACAUUUUGAUUAGGACGUGGAACAAGAUGCCAUAUCUCAUUCCUCGUGAAGUUGUUGAGUUCCUCUUGCAUUGCCAACACCCAAUCUGAAUCCCUUAAUGCAUCUUCCACCCUGUAUGGCUCAAUAGAAGACACAAAAGAGUAAUGCUCACAAAAAUGUGCGACACGAGAUCGAGUGGUUACCCCCUUAUGAAUAUCGCUGAGGAUGGAGUUCACAUGGUGAUCUCGUUGUAUCGCUUGGUGGACUCUUGGGUGAGGCGGCCUUUGUCCCUGUUCAUCUUCCUUGUCUUGAUCAUUGUCAUCUCCCCCUUGAUCAUUGUCCUCCUCUUUAGGUGGCUCAUCUUCUUGAUCUUUGUCUUCAUCAUCUUGAGCAUGUUCCUCAUCUUGAGUUGGUGGAGAUGCUUGAAUGGAAGAUGAUGGUUGAUCUUGUGCUUGUGGAGGCUCUUCGGAUACCUUAGGACACACAUCCCCAAUGGACAUGUUCCUUAGCGCGAUGCAUGGAGCCUCUUCAUCAUCUAGCUCAUCAAGAUCAACUUGCUCCACUUGGGAGCCAUUAGUCUCAUCAAACACAAUGUCACAAGAGACUUCAACUAGUCCAGUGGAUUUGUUAAAGACUCUAUAUGCCCUUGUGUUUGAGUCAUAACCAAGUAAAAAGCCUUCUACAACCUUAGGAGCAAAUUUAGAUUUUCUACCUCUUUUAACAAGAAUAAAACAUUUGCUACCAAAGACUCUAAAAUAUGAAACAUUGGGCUUUUUACCGGUGAGGAGUUCAUAGGAUGUCUUCUUGUGGAUUCGGUGAAGGUAGAGCCAAUUGAUGGAGUAGCAGGCGGUGUUAAUCGCCUCGACCCAUAACCAGUCCAAAGUCUUGUACUCAUCAAGCUUGGUUCUCGCCAUGUCAAGUAGAUUUCUAUUCUUCCUCUCCACUACACCAUUUUGUUAUGGUGUGUAGGGAGAAGAGAACUCAUGCUUGAUGCCCUCCUCCUCAAGGAAGCCUUCAAUUUGAGAGUUCUUGAACUCCGUCCCAUUGUCGCUUCUAACCUUUUUGAUCCUUAAGUUGAACUCAUUUUGAGCCCGUCUCAAGAAUCCUUUUAAGGUCUCUUGGGUUUGAGAUUUAUCCUGCAAAAAGAACACCCAAGUGAAGCGAGAAUAGUCAUCCACAAUAACAAGACAAUACUUACUCCUGCCGAUGCUCAUGUAAGCUAUCAGGACGAAUAAAUCCAUGUGGAGUAGCUCAAGCGGCCUGUCGGUCGUCAAGAUGUUCUUGUGUGGAUGGUGGACACCAACUUGCUUCCCUGCUUGACAUGUGCUACAAACCCUAUCUUUCUCAAAAUGAACAUUUGUUAGUCUCAAAAUGUGUUCGCCCUUUAGAAGCUUAUGAAGAUUCUUCAUCCCAACGUGGGCCAGUCGGCGAUGACAGAGCCAACCCAUAUUAGUCUUAGCAAUUAAGCAAGUAUCGAGUUCAGCUCUAUUAAAAUCAACUAAGUAUAGCUGACCCUCUAAUACUCCCUUAAAUGCUACUGAAUCAUCACUUCUUCUAAAGACAGUAACACCUAUAUCCGUAAAAAGAUAGUUGUAACCCAUUUUGCAUAAUUGAGAAAUAGAAAGCAAAUUGUAAUCUAAAGAAUCUACAAGAAAAACAUUGGAAAUAGAAUGGUCAGGAGAUAUAGCAAUUUUACCAAGUCCUUUGACCAAACCUUGAUUUCCAUCCCCGAAUGUGAUAGCUCUUUGGGGAUCAUUAUUUUUCUCAUAGGAGGAGAACAUUCUUUUCUCCCCUGUCAUGUGGUUUGUGCACCCGCUAUCAAUGAUCCAACUUGAGCCCCCAGAUGCAUAAACCUACAAAACAAGUUUAGGCCUUGUUCUUAGGUAUCCAAACGGUCUUGGGUCCUUUGACAUUAGAAACAAGCACCUUGGGUACCCAAACACAAGUCUUGGAGCCCUUGUGUUUGCCCCCAAAAUAUUUGGCAACUACUUUGCCUAAUUUGUUAGUUAAAACAUAAGAAGCAUUAAAAGUCUUAAAUGAAACAUUAGGUUUAUUUGAUGCAAUAGGAGUUUUCUUGUUAGGCAAUUUAACAUGAGUGGAUUGCCUAGAACUAGAUGCCUCACUCUUAUACAUAAAAGCAUGAUGAGAGCCAAAGUGAGACUUCCUAGAAUGAAUUCUCCUAAUCUAUGUUCGGGAUAACCAUCAGGAUAUAAAAUAUAGCCCUCAUUAUCCUGAACCAUGGGAGCUUUGCCCUUAACAAAGUUAUACAAUUUCUUAGGGGCAUUAAGUUUAACAUUGCCUCCCUAUUGGAAGCCAAUGCCAUCCUUAAUGCCAGAGCGUCUCACACUAUAGAGCAUGCUUCUAGCAAAUUUAAAUUUUUCAUUUUCUAUCUCAUGCUCAUUAAUUUUAGCACUAAGUUGAGCUAUGUGAUCAUUUUGUUAUUUAAUUAAAGCUAGGUGAUCAUGGAUAGCAUCAACAUUAAUGUCUCUACAUCUAGUACAAAUGGAAACAUGAUCAACAGUAGAUGUAGAGGGUUUGCAUGCAUUUAAUUCAUCAAUCUUAGCAUGUAAAAUAGCAUUCUCAUUUCUAAGAUUGGAAAUAGAAACAUUGCAAACAUCUAAUUCCUUAGCCUUAGCAAUUAAUUCAUCAUUCUCCAUCUUAAGUCUAGCAAUUGAUUCAUUCAACUUGUCAAUCUUAGUAAUUAAACUAGCAUUAUCAUUUCUAAGACUAACAAUUGAAUCAUCACAAACUUUUAGCUUAUCAACCUUAGAAAUCAAUUUAGCAUUUUCAAUUCUAAGGUUGGAGAUAGUGUCAUGGCAAAUGCUAAGCUCACUAGUUAAUUUUUCACAUUUUUCUAUUUCCUGAGUAUAAGCAUUUUUCACCUUAACAUGCUUCUUGUUUUCCUUAAUAAGGAAGUCCUCUUGGCUAUCCAAAAGUUCAUCCUUCUCAUGAAUAGUACUAAUCAAUUCAUUUAACUUCUCCUUUUAUUGCAUGUUAAGGUUGGCAAAAAGUGUAAGCAAAUCAUCCUCAUCAUCACUAGAGCUAGCCUCAUCACUAUAUGUUGCAUAUUUAGUAGAAGCUCUAGAUUUUACCUUUGGAUUUCUUCGUUGUUCCCUUGGGCUUCUUUUGUUCUUGAGUUUUGAACUUCUUGUUGGAACCUGCCUGCCUGGGCAAGUUGAUCCAAUGGGGAAGUGGAAAGUGUGUUUGCAAAGUUUAGCACGGAAUGCCAAAAGCUUGGUUAAUCUCUCGUGUAUGGGCACUAUACGGGGGUAUUCAUAGGUACUCGAGGGGCCACCUAUCCCUGUCAAAGACGUUUAGACCCUCGAGUACCCGGUUUAUCCCUAGAAUAUUCCCUCGAGGGGAGGUUACAGAUAGUCAUUAAGGCAAACCUUAUUACAGACACGACCCUUAUCGCACUUGUCCUCGCGGGGCCCAUCACUAUGGGCUGAAUCACACAUGGGCCUCCCUCGGGUGGUGAGGACGCGGGAGGUCCAUAGACAUCGGCAGGCCUUCGUCUUGCAACACGAGAGCGAAGGGGCCGCACAGGCCUCCGUCCGGUUGGUGCCCUCGGCUUGUUCUGGUGUGUUCUGUGGAUGUAGCCUUUGUCUGCGUAGUGAGAGGACGGAGUCGUAGAGCGAAGGGUGGCGUGUUCGCCUUUGCCCCAACAUUUGCCCUCCGAGGGACCAGUUCGACUAAGUCGCUGGUGCCGAAGACCUCCGCUAGAUGGUGAAGACGCUGCGCUCGCUCAAAGUGGUCCCGCGGGGGUUUUUGAAAUGUGACCGUUGAUGGACGUGUUACUGUUGGACUGCAUGUUUCCCAAGGCGCCGCGUCGUGCCUAUAAAAAGCCGACCACGGUCGGGCCUAGCUUUUGUAAACUGCUCGCCUCCCUCCUUGCUCUCCCGCUUCGGUAAUCUGGCCCGCAUCAAGCAGACCGCGCGCCGCCGCCGACGGUACGUUGCAAUGUCUUCUUCUUCGUCUGCUGCGAGUGCGUCGCCGACCGUGUCGUUGUCCGAGGGUACUUUGAGUAAUUUGGCGGUGAUGGAGUUGCAGCCUAGCCAUACCGUGGAGUUCGGUACUUCGAGGAUUUCCUCGGUUCGCAUGCUGGAGAUGCAGCGGCUUGGUUACUUUGGUGACGGUGUCGGGCGGGUUUCGGUUGCAAAGGAGAUACCUGAGCCUGAAGGCGAGUUGGUUGUUUUUAGGCCUUUUUGUCGCCGAUUUUCGCCUCCCGGCACAUCGCUUCGUGGCGGAGGUGUUGCGAAGGUUCGAAGUGCAGGUCCACCAAUUGACUCCUAACGUCGUGGUUGCGCUGGCAAAGUAUGUUUGGGCGGUUACUUCCUACGGCGGGCAGUCAUCUGUGGAGGUCUUCGCCAAGAAUUAUUGCCUGCAUUGGCAGAAAAGGGAAAUAGGAAAUAAGAUUGCACAAUUUGGAUCGUGCACCUUAACGCCGAGGACUGGGAAGACUUCAGCUAAAGUCGUGAAGAUAGUCCCUUGUGCCAGGAACAAGUGGAGCAACUGGUGGGAUUUUUGGUUCUAUGUGUCUCCUGGUGAUGUCGAAGACCUGCCUAGCCUCCCUCCGGCCAUUCUGUGCUCACACUGUUAUGUGGCGUUCCCUCGAUUCGAGGUGGCGGAGGAGAACGAGGACGCGGGGGUCCUUCGGUAUGCUGCCCGCUUGAGUAGCGGACGCGACUUGGUUGAGGAAUUUAUCGACUAUGGAGUGUGGCCCUUGGCACAUGGUUGGGUACUUGGCGAAGUGUGCCCCCGUAGGAUGCCGACCUUGGGCGACCAAUUGGUGUGAAGUCCUGCCUUUGUGGUGGAUUUACGCGGUCGGAACCCGGCCGCGUUUGCGCGUGAAGUGGAGGCCGAGGCCGCGAGGAUUGUGGGAAGGUAUGUGCCGAGGACGGAGACCUUGAGGAGUUGGGAUAUCUGCGGUUCAAAUGUUAGGUUGAACCGCAUUUUUGAGUUGAACCGUUUGCCAUAUGCCGGCUACCCGGGGGGGGACGACGAUGCCAAUGUCGCUGUCCACCAGGGAAAAAAGGUGGUGACAACGGCCGACGAAGGCUCUUCGCAGGGAACAGCGCCGAGCACGGCCGCCAAGAAGAGAAAAUUAGGUACAGCGGCUGAGGGGUUGAGGGCUUCCGAACGUUUUGCUAUGGAUUUGUUGGAGACCUGCACGGUUCCCGGGGAGACGAUGUCUUCAACCGAGCUCCGAGAAUCUUCCGCGCGAAUGCUGAAGGUUACCGGGGGUCACUGGCCUAGGAAUGUUCCGAUUCCCCGGGCAGCUAGCGAGGACAUGUUUACAUCUUGAUUGACUCGUGAGAUGAAAAAUUUCCCUUAUGGGCGGAAUGUUGCUGCUGUUGUAUCAGCAGUGAUGGAGAAGGAUCGUCAAAACGCACCACGGAAGCGCCGGGCGUUCGCCAGAGUUGGCGACCCGCGGUGCGAAGUCAAAAUGGCGCGGGCGAGCCCAAAGCCUGCCGCCCCCGGCGCCAGAAUGCCUCCGCCUGGCGCGCCCACUCAAGAGCGAAGGCCUCCCUCGCCACCGCGCGCUGCUGAGAUGGUGGUGGGUGGCGCCGAAGUCUCCCUGGAUAUUUUCGUGGAAGACUACCUUGUGGGAGGGGUCGCGAUAUUCGAUGCCCACAUAGGGCGGGGACCUGCUGGUGAGUUUUUUUUAACGGAGUCUGGGUUUCUGACUUGACCAUGGUGUAGGAUCAGAGUCCGAGCAAUUGGCUGUUGUCCUGGCACCGGUGUCGACUGGCCCGGUUGUCGUGGCAGCCAGGGCGAAGGGGUCUUCGCAGGACCCAUGGUCCAGGUUUUGCGCCAGCGGCGAAAUUGCUUCGGCCGCCGCCGCGAAGGACGUGGCUGGCUCAGUUGCGCGGCAGCUGAAACAUGCGGGUAAUCUUUGCCUCUUGAAGUUUAUUUUUCUUUUAUGGCUUCGAAUUUAACAGUCUUUGUGCCAGGCGUCCGCCUUCACCGAGCACAUUGCGUCGGGGGCAUUGACCUCGGAGUUUGCUGCCGAAAGGCGGCGACUCGAGGGGAGGAUUGAACGCCUCCGAACGCAGCAUACUGAGGCUGUGCGAGACAAAUCAGCCACGAAAAACAAGAGCCACAAUUUGCUGGAGAAGCUGUCGGCGGUGGGGCUGAAAAAGAGGACCUCGGUCGCCGGCUUGCGACGGAAAAGUAAGAUGCGGACAGGGCCCGCACAGAGGCCCAGGCUGCCCGUGCUGAGGCCAACCUCGCCGUCAAGCGUGCUACCGAUGCGGAGUCGGGGCAUAGGACUCUGCGCGGCUAUCUGGACAAAGCGGAAUCCUCCACCCGCACUGGGGUCGACCGAGCACACGCGUUGCUCGUGGACGCGUACCGGUAGCUUGGUGCGCGUACCACCCCUUUUGAUGCGUUUGGCGAGGAGGUGGGCCUCCGCUUCCUCGGGUGGCUGCAGGAGGAGCUGGAGCUACUCCCGUCCAUCGUGGCGGGCCUCAUGUCCUUUGCCUCGCUCAUUACCUGCGAGGGAGCUGCGAAUGCUAUGUCCCGUGAGGGAUGCAGGCACUUCGAAUUUUUUGACCGGGCCAACGAGGACUUCGACCGUGGAAUCUUCCAGGUCGAAGAUGAGGUGCUGAAGCGGUCCGCUGGGGCUCUUUAUGACAGGAUGUGGGCCCCUCACGGCCGUGAUACUGUCUGGGAGAGGUCUGACCGGGCGCUGGAGCAGGUGUGUGACGAUAUAUAUAUAUAUAUAUAUAUAUAUAUAUAUAUAUAUAUAUAUAUAUGUUUUUAUAUUUUGUGCUAUUUCUGUAGAUGAUGAACGAUGAAGAAGUCGACGACUUCGGUGGCCUGGAAAGCUCGGUGACCCGGGCAGAUGGUGCGAGGAUGGGGGUUGAAGAGCAACCGGCUCCACCGACCAACCUUGGCGAGGAUCUUGCGGCAACAGCUGCACCGACUAACGAAGUCACUUCGGCGACAGCUGCGUCGGCUGACGAAGACCCUGCAGCGUCGGCUGCUCCUUCGCGGGUGGUGGGGUCGUGUUAGGGGCAUUGGGUUUAGGACUUUAUUUUUGUGAUACUGAAUGUCAGUUGUUGUACAGGUUCUGAUGUCUGGGCCUGCGCAAGCAACCCCUACUGAUAAUAUUAAUUUUGUGGCGGCUUCGAAUGCAGUGCCUGUUAAUGAAAAUUUGUCUGGUUCUGAAACUGGGUCUUGGUCAUCUGAUGGAGGUGAGUUUGGGAGCCUGUUUUCAUGGACUGAGGGGUCUUCAGAUGAGGAUUUGGAUUAUUUUGCUGUGUUGGAUGUGGCCGCGGCGGAGUCCAUGCUGCAGCUUGAAGCGCACGAAGCGUCUGGUCCCCCGACUGGGGCGAUGACCGAGGAGCACCGCCGGCGAAAAGUGGUGUCGAAGCAUAAUGUUGGUGAGAUAUCGCGAAGUGGUAGGCGUCAACGGAUGGGGAUGGAACGAACCCGUCUUCGGGUAGAUCGAGGUGGCCAACGAGAUUUGCUGUCCUCGACGUCCGGGACGUGUAUUAGGGAGGGGAUCUGUGGAAUCUUUUUGAGGGUGAGGAGUUGAAGAUGAUGUUGUUUAAUUUUCGUGAGGCAGGCCUUAUCCCGAAGGCUGAGCCGAUGUAGCAUGUUUGCUACCCUCGCUCGUGUGUCGCGGUAGUGAGCGAAAAUGCUGCCCUCACCGGCUCGCGAUAGAGAGGGAGGGCAACAAAAUGCGAUUUGUAUUUAUUUCUGCAACGUGGCUGGUGGCCCUUCGUUGUGUGUAUGUAAACUAUGACGACUUUGCUUAUUGUGAAAUGAGAUGGGGACUUCGCUUUCCACGUCAAUGUGAGGGUGCUUGAGAGGGAAAUAGGCUUACACCUUUUCCUAAUUAAUUUUGGUGGUUGAAUUGCCCAACACAAAUAAUUGGACUAACUAGUUUGCUCUAGAUUAUAAGUUCUACAGGUGCCAAAGGUUCACAACAAACCAAUAAAAAGACCAAGAAAGGGUUCAAAUAAAAAGAGCAAAAGACAACCGAAGUGUGCCCUGGUCUGGCGCACCGGACUGUCUGGUGCACCACCGGACAGUGUCCGGUGCACCAGCGGAGUAACGACUACUACAGCGCCAACGGUCGUCUGCAACAGUAGUUAAUGCGCUACAGUACGCGCAGAAGUCAGAGCAGAGCCAGAAGGCGCACCGGACUGUCCGGUGGCCCAGACGUCAAAAGCUCCAACGGUCAGAAUCCAACGACCGGGUGACGUGGCUGGCGCACCGGAUUGUCCGGUGCACCAUGCGACAGAAGCCCUCACCAACAGUUCUUUUGGUGGUUGGGGCUAUAAAUACCCCCAACCACCACACUUCAAUGCAUCUAAGUUUUCAGCCUUCAAACACCUUACAAGAGCUAUAGCAUUCAAUACAAGACACAAUCAAAGAGAUCAAAUCCUCUCCCAAGUCCAAAGAUCUUUCCAAUCAAAUAGUGGCUAGUGAGAGAGAGACUUGUGUUCAUUUGAGCUCUUGCGCUUGGAUUGCUUUUCUUCUUCAUUCUUUCUUGUGAUCAUUUCACUUGUAAUCAAAACAAGAGACACCAAGUUGUGGUGGUCCUUGUAGUGGACUUAGUGUCCCAUUUGAUUGAAGAGAAAGGCUCACUCGGUCUAGGUGACCGUUUGAGAGAGGGAAAGGGUUGAAAGAGACCCGGUCUUUGUGACCACCUCAACAGGGAGUAGGUUUGCAAGAACCGAACCUCGAUAAAACAAAUCACCGUGUCAUCUGCCUUAUUUGGUUGUGAUUUGUUUUCGCCCUCUCUUUCGGACUCGUUUAUAUUUCUAACGCUAACCUCGGCUUGUAGUUGUGCUUAAAGUUUGUAAAUUUCAGAUUCACCCUAUUCACCCCCUCUAGGCGACUUUCAAUUGGUAUCAGAGCCCGGUACUUCAUUAGAGCCUAACCGCUCGAAGUGAUGUCGGGAGCAUCCGCCAAGAGGGAGAUCAGGACCGGCGACAAGUCUGCAAGCUCAGGGAGAACGCACUCAAGGGAGUCCGACCACAAGCACAAGGAGGAAUCCUCUUCCUCCAUCAAGUCCCAACGGAAAGGUGACAAGAAGGACAAGAUGAAGAAGGUGCUCGGAAUCGGCAUCCGCAACUUCUAAGCGCCAUGAGCGCAAGAAGUAUAGUAAGAUGCCCCUUCGCUAUCCUCGUAUUUCAAAACGCACUCCAUUACUUUUCGUUCCAUUAGGCAAACCACCUAUGCUUGAAGGCGAAGAUUAUUUUAUGUGGAGUGAUAAAAUGAGGCAUCACCUAACCUCACUCCACAAAAGCAUAUGGGAUAUUGUUGAGUAUGGAGCGCAGGUACCAAAGAAGGGAGACAAGGAGUACAACUCGGAGGAGGUCGAACAAAUUCAACACUUCAACUCCCAAGGCACUACUAUACUCCUCGCCUCUCUAUGUCGAGAGGAGUAUAAUAAGGUGCAAGGGUUGAAGAGCGCAAAGGAAAUUUGGGACGUGAUCAAGACCACGCACGAAGGAGACGAGGUGACCAAGAUCACCAAGCGGGAGACGAUCGAGGGGGAGCUCGGUCGCUUCAUGCUUCACCAAGGGGAGGAGCCACAAGCGAUGUACAACUGGCUCAAGACCUUGGUGAACCAAGUGCGCAACCUCGGGAGAACCAAAUGGGAUGACCAUGAAAUGGUCAAGGUUAUUCUUAGAUCACUCGUUUUCCUUAACCCUACGCAAGUUCAAUUAAUUCGUGGUGAUCCUAGAUACACACUAAUGUCUCCCGAGGAAGUGAUAGGAAAAUUUGUGAGCUUUGAGUUAAUGAUCAAAGGCUCCAAGAAAAUCAUUGAGCAAGGCGCCACCUCAACACCCGAGGUGCAACCCAUCGCACUCAAGGCGACGGAAGAAAAGAAGGAUUCUACACCAAGUAGGAUCCCCAUCGAUGCCUCCAAGCUCGACAAUGAGGAGAUGGCGCUCAUCAUCAAGAGCUUCCGCCAAAUCCUCAAGCAAAGGAGGGGGAAGGACUACAAGCCCCGCUCCAAGAAAGUUUGCUACAAGUGUGGUAAGCCCAGUCAUUUUAUUGCAAAAUGUCCAUUAUCAAGUGAUAGUGACAGGAGCGACGACAAGAAGGGAAAGAGAAGAGAAAAGAAGAGGUACUACAAGAAGAAGGGCGGCGAUGCCCAUGUUUGCCGGGAGUGGGACUCCGACGAGAGCUCCACCGACUCCUCCUCCGACGAAGAUGCCGAAAACAUCGUCGUCACCAAAGGCCUUCUCUUCCCCAACGUCGGCCACAAGUGCCUCAUGGCAAAGGACGGCAAAAGGAAGAAGGUAAAAUCAAAAUCCUCCACUAAGUAUGCAACUUCUAGUGAUGAGGAUAAUUCUAGUGAUGAUGAGGAUAAUUUGCUCACCUUAUUUGCCAACCUAAACAUGCAACAAAAGGAGAAAUUAAAUGAAUUAAUUAGUGCUAUUCAUGAUAAGGAUGAACUCUUAGAUAGUCAAGAGGACUUCCUAAUUAAAGAAAACAAAAAGCAUGUUAAGGUUAAAAAUGCUUAUGCUCUAGAGGUAGAAAAAUGUAAAAAAGUAACUAGUGAGCUAAGCACUUGCCAUGAUGUUAUUUCCAACCUUAUAAAUGAGAAUGCUAAAUAUUCUUGAUUCUAGGAAUUUUGAUUGAUAUUUUUGCACACAUAGCUCAUUCAUACCUUUGAUCAUCUCUUUCAUGUGCUAUGACUAAUGUGGUUUCAAGUGCAUUUCAUGCUAAGUCAUAGAUUGAAAGGGAAUUGGAGUCUUCGGCGAAGACAAGGCUUCCACUCCACUCCAUCAAAUUAUUCAUCCUUCGCCGUCGCUUCACACCGCUCUCCAAUUUGGUAUAAUCUUCACUCAUAUAUUAUUUACCAUAGGGGGAGAAAGUAAUAAUGGCUUAUAUUUCACUCACAUGUAUCCGUUUUUGGUGAUUCAUGCCAAAGGGGGAGAAAGUAUUAGCCCAAAGCAAAAGGACCGCACCACCACCAUCAAUUUCAAUUGGGAAAGUAUUAGCCCAAAGCAAAAGGAUCGCACCAUCACCAUCAAUUUCAAAAAAAUAGUCUUCAAAUUUGGUUAAGAAAAGAUUUUCUCAAUUGGUAUCCUUUUUGGGUUUGUUUUUCAAUUGGUAUCUUAUUUUUGAUAUAAUUUCAAAUUAGUACACCCUCUUCAAAAAUAAUAUCUAAAACCCUCUUGAACACUAAGAGGAGGAUUUCAUUAAGGGGGAGUUUUGUUUAGUCAAAGGAAAAGCAUUUGAAACAGAGGGAGAAAAUUUCAAAUCCUGUAAAUGCUUCUCAAAAUCUUAUUCAUUUACCUUUGACUAUUUGCAAAAGGACUUUAAAAGAAUUUCCAAAAGAGUUUGCAAAAUCAAAACAUGUGGUGCAAGCGUGGUCCAAAAUUUUAAAUUAGAAGAAAGCCAUCCAUGCAUAUCUAAGUAGAAAUAAUUAUUGGUUUCAUUCCUAGCAACCUUUGCACUUACAUUAUGCAAACUAGUUCAAUUCCGCACUUUUAUAUUUGCUUUGGUUUGUGUUGGCAUCAAUCACCAAAAAGGGGGAGAUUGAAAGGGAAAUAGGCUUACACCUUUUCCUAAUUAAUUUUGGUGGUUGAAUUGCCCAACACAAAUAAUUGGACUAACUAGUUUGCUCUAGAUUAUAAGUUCUACAGGUGCCAAAGGUUCACAACAAACCAAUAAAAAGACCAAGAAAGGGUUCAAAUAAAAAGAGCAAAAGACAACCGAAGUGUGCCCUGGUCUGGCGCACCGGACUGUCCGGUGCACCACCGGACAGUGUCCGGUGCACCAGGGAACUCAACUCCGAACUGCUCACCUUCGGGAAUUCUGGGAGCCGCUCCGCUAUAAUUCACCGGACUGUCCGGUGUAGCACCGGACUGUCCGGUGUGCCAGCGGAGUAACGGCUACUACAGCGCCAACGGUCGUCUGCAAUAGCAGUUAAUGCGCUACAGUGCGCGCAGAAGUCAGAGCAGAGCCAGAAGGCGCACCGGGCAGUGAACAGUGACUGUCCGGUGCACCACUGGACUGUACGGUGGCCCAGACGUCAGAAGCUCCAACGGUCAGAAUCCAAUGGCCGGGUGACGUGGCUGGCGCACCAGACAGUGUCCGGUGGCGCACCGGAUUGUCCGGUGCGCCAUGCGACAGAAGCCCUCACCAACGGUUCUUUUGGUGGUUGGGGCUAUAAAUACCCCCAACCACCACACUUCAAUGCAUCUAAGUUUUCAGCCUUCAAACACCUUACAAGAGCUAUAACAUUCAAUACAAGACACAAUCAAAGAGAUCAAAUCCUCUCCCAAGUCCAAAGAUCUUUCCAAACAAAUAGUGGCUAGUGAGAGAGAGAGACUUGUGUUCAUUUGGGCUCUUGCGCUUGGAUUGCUUUUCUUCUUCAUUCUUUCUUGUGAUCAAUUCACUUGUAAUCAAAACAAGAGACACCAAGUUGUGGUGGUCCUUGUAGUGGACUUAGUGUCCCAUUUGAUUGAAGAGAAAGGCUCACUCGGUCUCGGUGACUGUUUGAGAGAGGGAAAGGGUUGAAAGAGACCCGGUCUUUGUGACCACCUCAACGGGGAGUAGGUUUGCAAGAACCGAACCUCGGUAAAACAAAUCACCGUGUCAUCCGCCUUAUUUGCUUGUGAUUUGUUUUUGCCCUCUCUUUCGGACUUGUUUAUAUUUCUAACGCUAACCUUGGCUUGUAGUUGUGCUUAAAGUUUGUAAAUUUCAGAUUCGCCCUAUUCACCCCCCUCUAGGCGACUUUUAGUGCUUAUGACACGUACUUGGUUGCGUCCGUAGGUGGUUUUUGUUUGACCGUGUCAGAUAGCAGAGACUUUGCACCUUUAAGGUGAUCGUAAGAGACUUUGCGCCAUUAGGGUAGUGUUUGCGUGUUUGGCUGCGCCCUUAGGGGGCCUUUGCUCGGAUGACUUGUCGUAAAGACUUCAUAUGGCGCACUUGAAGUGUAUAUCCGGCUGCACCCUUAGGCGGCUUUUGCGCGGAUUUGUCUUUUAGUAAAGACUUCGUAUCACACACUUGUUGUGCUAGUCCGGCUGCACCCUUAGACGACUUUUGCACGGAUUUGUCUUUUAGUAAAGACUUCGUAUCGUGCACUUGUUGUGCUUGUCCGGCUGCACCCUUAGUCGGCUUUUGCACGGAUUUGUCUUUUAGUAAAGACUUCGUAUCGUGCACUUGUUAUGCUUGUCGGGCUGCACCCUUAGGCGGCUUUUGCAUGGAUUUGUCUUUUAGUAAAGACUUCAUAUCGUGAACUUGUUGUGCUUGUCCGACUACACCCUUAGGCGGCUUUUGCACGGAUUUGUCGCACACGAGGGUAGUCUAUGCUACCUGUCGCGGUGACUUUGUAUAUGUCGAAUGUCGAAGACCGUCAGAGCGGUCUUUUUCGACACUUAUGGUAAUGAUGCUUGAAGUUUUUUGCGGGGGAUUUUCGUUGGUAUAUUACAUGGAGCUGCCUCGUUAAAAACCUCACCCCUGGGAGGAAAAGAGUGCAGGCCUGAAUAACAUUGUUUGAAGAAUUACAAAGGCGCUUGGGCCUUGGAUCUUAAAAGAAAAAUUUUCGGAGAUUAUCGAUGUUCCAUGAGUGUUCUUAGUCUUCGCCGGAUGACGUUGCUAGCCUGUAAGCACUGGGGGAUGCCUUUGUCUUGACUAUGUACGACCCUUCCCACUUCGGCUCUAGCUUGCCCUGGGACUCUGUUCGGGUGGUCCUUACAAGUACGAGGUCCCCUUUGUUGAAUUCUCUUGGGACGACUGUGUUGUCAUGCCAUGCUUUGGUCUGGACCUGAUACUUGUUGAGGGCAUGCAGGGUGAGGACACGGUCUCCGUCGAUGAGAUCUUUGGAGGUUGGUUCGUCGACUUCGGGGACGACUGAUUUGUUUGUUCGGGGGGACCCAUGCUUUAACUCGUGCGACGUCAUUGCUUCGGAUCCAUACAUCAAGCGAAAGGGUGUGAACCUGGUUGCUCGGCACUCUGUCGUAUUUAUGGCCCAUACGACUUCGGGUAAUUGGUCUGCCCAUUUGCCCUUUUUGUUGUCAAGGAGCCUUUUCUUGAUGGCACUAAAAAUCUUGCCAUUGGCGCGUUCGAUGACACUGUUGGAUUGUGGGUGGUAUACAGAGGCAAAGACAGGCUUUGUGCCGAUGGAACUGCAGAAUUCCCUGAAGUCUUGGCUGUCGAACUGUUUGCCGUUGUCGACUGUGAGUUCGGACGGGACUCCAAAGCGACAUACAAUGUUUUGCUAGAAGAAUUUUUGGGCGGUCUUUGCUGUUAUCAUGGAGACUGCCCAGGCCUCAAUCCACUUUGUGAAAUAUUUGAUGGCGACGAUGGUGAACUUGAGGUUCCCUUGAGCUGUAGGCAGUGGUCCAACGAUGUCCAGUCCCCAACGUUGGAGUGGCCAUGUGUGGGCGAUGAGCUUGGUGAAUUGCGAAGGGUUGCCUCAGCGAGCAGAGAACUUUUGGCAUGCUUCGCAUGACCUGGUGACUCGGUUGGCGGUGCAAACUAUCGCGGGCCAGUAAAAUCCCUGACGAAUCACCUUGGCUGCAAGGGCCCUAGGUCCUAAGUGUGAGCCGCAGGUUCCACUGUGGACUUCGUGGAGGAUUUCUAUGCCUUUGGUUUCGGUUAUGCAUAUCAGCAUAGGCUAGCUGAUGCCCUUUUUGUACAGCUGACCCUCGACUAUUGUGAAGUCCCUGCUCCUGUGCUUCAGCCGUUUGGCCUCAUUGCGAUCAGUUGGAUGGUAGUGGCCUUGCAGGUAUAGUGUUAUUGGGGCCCGCCAGUCUUCGACCAUGAUGAGGUUGACGAUUUGAUGGCCCUCGGUGUCCUGAGUUAUUUGCAAACCUUCGGGGUUGUGGACGGUUGGCGUGCCGAUGACGUGGUAGAACACGUCAGAGGGCAGGGCCUCGCCCUUGGCCGCUGCUUUGGCCAACGCGUCGGCCUCUUCGUUCUUGUUGUGGUCGACAUGCUGCAGGGUGAAACCCUUGAAUUGUUUCUCGAGGCUGCGGACGGCGGUGAGAUAUUGCAUGAGCACAUGCUCCUUUGCUGAGUACUCCUUUUCGAUCUGGCCAACGACGACCUUGGAGUCUGUCCUAAUUAUGCAUGUGGUGACACCGAGGGAUCAUAAUUUGCGAAGUCCCAGGAUGACGGCUUCGUACUCUGCUAUGUUAUUAGUGCACCUGUCGGACUCUAAAGCAAAGCUGAGGCGCGUUGCGUAUCUAUACUUGACGCCGGCGGGUGAUGUGAUAAUCGUCGCGGCGCCUGCCCCCGCAUAGCACCCUGCACCAUCGCAGUGGAUGGUCCAAACUUUUUCCGAGGAUUCUUCUUGUGGCCACACAGGUCCUGUCCAGUCGACGAUGAAGUCUGCCAGGACUUGUGACUUGAUUGUUGUUCUGGGUUCAAAGGUGAUGUGGUACCCGGAUAGUUCAGCUGCCCAUUUGGCAAUUCUGGCGGAUGCCUCCGGGUUCCUGAACAAUUCUCCCAGACCCCUGUCCGAAGAGACCCAUACUUUGAAUGCCUCGAAGUAGUGUCGUAGCUUGCACGAAGCCAUGACAACUGUGUAUGAAAUUUUCUCGAGUUCAGUCAUGUUUCACUUGGAAGCUGUGAGGACUUCGGAGACGUAGUACAUUGGGCACUGCCGACUUUUGCCUCGCUGUCCUGCUCUUGCACUAAUGUUGCGCUGACUGCGCAUGGUGAAGUCGCAAUGUAGAGAAGCAGCGACAGCGAGGGGUCGGGACUUGUGAGAGUUGCUAGGUCGGACAAGUGUUGUUUGAGCGACUCGAAGGCCACCGCCUGCUCUAGUCCCCAAGUGAAGUCUUUUGCACCACACAAUGUUUUGAGGAAGGGUAGACUACGCUAUGUGGAUUUGGAGAUGAAUUUGUUCAGGGCUGCCAAUCUGCCUGUCAGGCGCUGGACGUCCCUGGUGGACUGUGGAGGUGCCAUGUUGAUGAUCGCUUGGAUCUUAAUUGGGUUGGCCUCAAUCCCUCGGUGCGUUACUAGGUAACCAAGUAUUUUCCCCUGGCGAACUCCGAAGACACACUUCUCAGGGUUGAGCUAGAGUCGUGCGUCGCACAUGUUGGCGAAUGUUUCUGCGAGAUUGGUCAGGUGAUCCUCUUUGUUUUUGCUUGCGAUGACAAUGUCAUCUAUGUAGGUGAAAAUGUUGCGGUCGACUUGGCUUUCGAGGACCUUCUUGAUGAGGCGAGAAAAGGUUGAUCCGGCGUUCUUGAGUCCCACUGGCAUUCGUACGAAACAGUACGUGCCGAAGGGUGUAAUGAAGCUUGUGCUUGCCUUGUCCUCCUCUUUCAUGUAAAUCUAGUGGUACCCCGAGAAACAAUCAAGGAGUGACAUGACUUCGUAGCCUGCUGCGCUAUCGACGAUUUUGUCGAUCCGUGGCAAGGGGAAGUUGUCCUUGGGGCAAGCCUUAUUCAGGUUUGUGAAGUCUAUGCACAUGCGCCACUUGCCACUCUUCUUUUGCACCAUGACCACGUUAGCAAGCCAUGUAGGAUAAGCGAUUGGCUCGAUGAAUCUGGCUUCCAAUAGGUGGUGUACCUCGGUCUUGGCUGCUUCAGUUUUCUCAUCGGACAUUUUUCACAGUCGCUGCUUUUUCGGGCGCACCGAAGGGUCGAUGCCUAGGCUGUGCUCGAUGAUGGAGCGGCUGACCCCGACCAGAUCGAGGGUGGACCAAGCGAAGUCAUCCUUGUUUUGGGAGAGGCAAGAAAGGAGUUUUUCCUCGUCUCGCGAGGUCAGGUAUUCGCUUAUUAUUACCGUUUGCUUCGACGUUGCUGGGUAGAGGGGUACCGCCUUCGUUCCAUCGUUGCUCUGGAGCUGCGCUUUGACUUUUUCGUCUUCGACUGGGCGAUUGUUUUCGAAGCCUUCACGCUCUUUCAUGAGGCAGUGUACAUUUCGUUGCCCUAGAACAAAAUCCCUUUCGAUGUUGUGUGCUGUCUGCUGGUCACCGUAGACAGUGAUCACACCCUGCGGACCUGGGAUUUUCAUGCAGAGGUAGAGUCCAUGAAUGGUCGCCUUGAAUUUGUUGAGCGAGCCCCGCCCCCAUUAUGGCAUUGUAUGGGUAGACCAUGUCGACAAUGUCGAAGGUGACCUGCUCACUUCGUGCAUUGGGUGCGACGCCAAAUGACAGGGGGAGCUCUAUCUUCCUGACGGGGAAAGUGCCCUUGCAGCCGAAACCGUAGAGUGGAUUAUCCGCAGGCUUGAGGAGGCUAUGGCUUAUUCCCAUGCGAUCGAAGGCAUGUAGAAAAAUGAUAUCAGCUUGGCUACCGUUGUCAACUGGCACCUUGUGUAGAUCCCAGCCUGCUACCCUGCAGUUGAUCACCAUGGCGUCUACGUGUGGAGCACUGCGCAAGUCAACGUCUCUGGCAUCGAAAGUGAGCGGUACAUGGGACCACUUUGUUUGCACCACUGGGCCAAUAAGAGCGACAUGGUUCACACUUCGGUAGUGUUCCCUUUUCUGUCGCUUCGUGUUAAAGUCUACGCUUGAUCCCCCAGUGAUCAUGUGGAUGACUCCGUGGUAUGGUGGCUCUGCAAAGUCUUCUUGUUUGGGUGCUUGCGGUGGGUGGAUGUGGUGCGAAGGGUUUGGGUUAUGCGGAGGCGGUGGAGGUAGAACCUGCACCUCUUGAUGGUGCUGGUAAGCGUGGUUGGGUGGAUGUUGUAUUUGUUCGUUGUGGUAUGGUUGUUGGUGAUGGUAAGUGUGCGCGACGACCCUCUGGUUGUCGGUUGGUUGUGCUCUGGACAUUCUGUCCCUGGUGGCCUUGGUCUCCGGACAAUCCCUUGUUGGGUGUGCGCAGUCAUCGCCGUGAAACAAGCAAUAAAAUCUGUGCGGCUGCUGUGUUCGUCCGCUGCCUCUUCCUCUUGUGUCGUUGCCGCGGCCUUGGGUGGGGUAUUCCUGACGACGGGUGUUCUCUCCGGCUGAGUGCUGAUUGGCUAUGUUGUGCACCUGUUGAUGAUUGCGAUUGUCCCUGCCAGAUUCUGGCUGCGCUGGCUUGGUCCAGGUUCUGCUGGACUGUGGAGGGUCCUUGGGCUUCCUUGGAGACUCAAACUUGCGUUGAUGGAGCUCCUCAGACCUGGCAUAUUCCUCAAAUAAUUGAUAUAACUCUUGUAGAUUCUUGGGUGGGUCCCUGAUGCAAUGACUGUACAGGACGCCUGCCCGAAGACCGCUCAUGGCGUAGUGGAUUGCGAUUUGGUCAUCAACUGAUGGCUCAGUUGCGAUUUGAGCGUCAGAAAUUUCCUAUAGUACUCGUGAAGGGUUUCCUUAUCUUGCUGCUUGCAGAGGGAUAACUCGGUCAGGGCGUCUGUAUCGGGUCGGUACCCUUGGAAGUUGAGCAGGAACUUGUCGCGAAGCCCUUUCUGGGAGUCAAUGGACAGUGGCAAUAACCUGGUGUACCAAGUCAAGGUCGGGCCUUCGAGUGCGAUGAUGAAGGAUUUGGCCAUUGUGGCAUCGUCCCCUCCGGACGAUGCGAAGACUACCUGGUAGAUCAUGAUGUACUGAGCCGGGUCGGUGCUACCGUUGUAUUUUGGGUAGGUGUUGGCCUUGAAGUUGGCAGGCCAGGGCGAUGCUUGGAGUUGCGGAGCCAAGGGCUUCGCUCAUCGAGAUAGUUGAUCCCUUGGAAAGCUACAGCGGGUGGAAUGAAGAGGCCACGCUGUGGUAUGAAUGGGUCUCCGACUUGGAUGUACUGCUGGAGAGGCACUGGCGGUGCGAGGGGUACGUGUUGCAGGUUGUACUGGCCUUCGCCUUGCAUGAGCGCGAUCUCUUAAUCUAGCUCCCGAGCUCUCUGCUCCUCAUCUUGUAUCAUUUGACGCACCUUGGCUUGCAUGGUGACUCGUUGGCGCUUGGCUUCGAGGAUUUCUUACUGCUUCUGGAGGUGGUUGUUUUUGAUGCGCAGAGCUUGCAGCUUUAGCAGGUCUUCGGCUGAGAUGCCGAUGACUUCUCCGUCCUCUAUGGUGUCUUCACCCUCUGGUGGAGUGAAGCCUGGUGGUGGUGCGCCUUCGGAACUGCAGGUGCGUACAGUGCCAUCGGGGGUGGGGUGGUCUUGGCGCUGUCUUUUGCUGUUGACAGCGUCAUCUUCGAAGGCCUCUUGAGGGGUGGUGUCCGUGAAGGCCUUGCCUUUCUUUUCCGCUAGUAACGCUGCCCUCGCCGCGUCGUCAAUGGAUGGGGCAGCCUUCAAAUUUGCUCUCUUGGGGGCCAUCGCUGGUUGUUUUUCGUAGCAUGAACGGUGGCCGCCAAAUGUUGGAACAUGCCUGCCUGGGCAAGUUGAUCCAACGAGGAAGUGGAAAGUGUGUUUGCAAAGUUUAGCACGGAAUACCAAAAGCUUGGUUAAUCUCCCGUGUAUGGGCACUGUACGGGGGUAUUUAUAGGUACUCGAGGGGCUGCCUAUCCCUGUCAAAGACGUUUAGAUCCUCGAGUACCCGGUUUAUCCCCAGAAUAUUCCCUCGAGGGGAGGUUACAGAUAGUCAUUAAGGCAAACCUUAUUACAGACACGACCCUUAUCGCACUUGUCCUCGCCGGCCUAUCACUAUGGGCCGAAUCACACAUGGGCCUCCCCCAGUGGUGAGGACGCGGGAGGUCCAUAGACAUCGACAGGGCCUUCGUCUUGCAACACGAGAGCGAAGGGGGCCGCACAGGCCUCCGUCCGGUCGGCGCUCUUGGCUUGUUCUGGUGUGUUCCGUGGAUGUAGCCUUCGUCUGCGCGGUGAGAGGACGAAGUCGUAGAGCGAAGGGUGGAGUGUUCGCCUUCGCCCCAACACUUCUAUGCUUCUUUUAUGCCUUCUUUUUUAGGUGUUGCAUCCUCAGUUCCUUAGUCCAACCCUCUUCGUAUUCUGUGAACUAUAAAUACAAACACUAGCAAACAUAUUAGUCCAUAGGUUAUGUUGAUCAUCAAACAUCAAAAUUCCUUUAGCCAAAUGGCCCGGGGUCCAUUUUCCUUAUAGACCAACUCACGUCGAGCAACCUUGCAAGGUGAACAUACCGACCAACUCCUGCCGAGCAACCAUGCGAGGCGGGCAGGCUGACCAACUCCUAUCGAGCACCCCUGCGAGGUGGAUAUGACGACCCACUCCCGUCAAGCAACCCUGCGAGGUAGGCGGUGCGACCAAAUCCUGAUGAGCAAUUCUGCAAGGCGGAGGAGCAAAUGCCCAUAACAAGGGCUAGUACAUAUGUGGGUCCCGGUGACAUGACCAUCUAUCACACACACAAUAGGUGCAUGCCUGUACCUGCCUGACAUCAGGACACGACCAGCAUUGUUGACCCAUGCCAACCACGAUAAAGGCACGACACCAUCAAAUAUCGUCUUGGCUGACGCUACGACACACCAAGUGAGUUACAAAGGGUCUCCGUCAAUAGGAAAGGUCACCACGAACGACCCUUAAUGGCCCCUGACUCUGCCAUGUGGGGCUAGCCAAGCUCCGCCACUUGGAACCUCAGCAUCAGAGUCUCUAUUGUGACUCGUAUACUGGGUGGGACGGUGCUGAAAGGGAAAUGAUCACUUGGGCCAUUUCUAUAUUGUUUUGGUGAUUAAAUGCUCAACACAUUGUCUUGGACUAACAACGUGAUGUAUGAGCAUAAGCACAGGUAUUUGAAAGGCAAUUUGAGAAACACAGGAAAAUGCAUUUGGUGUAUAUUGCAAAUCCUAUUACAUUAAAUGAACAAGGUACAAUUCUAGCACUUAGUAAAUUGUUUUUGUUGCUAACUAUGUUUAUGUAAGUGCUAGGAAACUUCUCAAGUUGAACUAUUUUGGAGAAAUGGUGUUUAGAUAAGAUUAGCCAAACUUGUGACAGUCUGGAGCACCGAAUAGUGUCCGAUGCCCAUGCUAGUCAUCCGGUGAACAUGACGCUCUUGGGAAUCCGUUGUGACGUCGUGACUAUAAUUUACCGGACUGACCGGUGUGCCAGCCGCGCGCCUGGCCAGCGGUCAUCCGCGCAAUCUGCGCAGGACAUGUCAUCUUGGCCAACGGUCACCAGGUCGCAUCGGACUAUCCAGUGCGCCACCGGACUGUCCGGUGUGCCAAGUGAUCAACUAUCUACAACGGUCGGCUCGACUGAAUAAGGAAGGAGAUCGUCUACUAUGCAGUGUUCGGUGUGCACCAAAUAGUCCGGUGCACCCGCGGACAGAAGGCAACCAUGGCCUCCCAAAUGAAGAUCAAACGACUCCUUGGUCCCUUGGGGCUAUAAAAGGACCCCCUAGGCGCCAUGGAGCAGGACACAAGCAUACUUUGAGCACACUACAACUCCAAUACUCCGUGACCACGCUGCUAAUUCAUUAGAUAGAGAUUUGAGCGCGUUCUUGAACUGUGACUCUGACGUUUUGAUUCUUACGCUCUUUUCUUUACUUGUGUGCGUGUUGUUGCUGUGAUUGUGUUCUUGUGUGUGUUUCUACUCCCAUCCUUAAACUGUUUUGAUUGUAAACACUUGUGUAAGGCAUGAAAGACUCCAAUUUGUGGAGAUUCCUCACAACCGGGAUUUGAUAUAAGGAAGAAAACCGUGGUACUCAAGUUUGAUCUUUGGAUCACUUGAGAGGGGUUGAGUGCAACCCUUGGCCGAAGGAGGUCACCACAACGUGGAGUAGGCAUUGGCCGAACCACGGGAUAAAAACGUGGUGUCUCAUGUCCAUUUACUCUAUUGCAAUUAUUGUCUUUUUGAGUUCUCAUAUUCACUUGUAUUAUUGCUCCUAAGUUUGAUACACGUUUAAAAGUAACAAUCAAGUUAAUAGUUCUCCUCUCUCCAUCUCUACUCAUACCAACUUGGUUUUAGCUUCCACUAACACUCAUUAUAAACCAAGUUUGUGUUGUUUAGAGUUCAUUUUUGUAGGAUCACCUAUUCACCCCCUCUAGGUGCUCUGAGGAGCGAUUAGCCAUACCUGGUGUAUGCCUACGCAUGUAUUAGAAGACGACAUCAGGGGGAUUAUGUCAAAAGUACUCCUGUAGACGAUGGACCAUAGCCUUAUUCAGAUAAGAAAUCCCCUUGUAAGGGCCUCCCCCUUGAACUAUAAAAGGUAGACAGACGAACAUGCAUGGGAGGAGGAGAAGAGAGCAUUUGAGCCAGAGUUCCCCCUUCCUCUCGAUCUCACACUUACACCUUCUAUAAGAAUACAAUGAUUAGCAGUACAUUGGACGUAGGGCACGAGCUUGAACCAGUAGAACCCCUCUUUAGUCACUUGAUUCACCAUGCGAAGUUGAGUCCCCAUUUUUCAAAACCACGACACUCGGUUCUUUGUGAACUCAUUAUGGAGACACAUGGUUCUUUCUGAAUCCGAACUCUAGGAAAAUGCAUGUGUCUCUUGUGCUAGUUACUUUCUUACCACAUUUAUCUUUGCUUGUUUGGUUCAUACUUGCUAUACUUAUUGAUUUGAGCUUUAUCUCCCAUUCAAUCUUGUUGCUAGCUUCUAUUCCGCUCCAAGUGUUGCUAGCUUAUAGCAAAUGAUAAUCCUUGAAUACAUACGCUGCUAUAUUACUCUAUUAUUACCCACCAAAUUAUGAACUUUCGGUUUAUAUCUUGUAUUUGAGAAAGAAAUUUUAGGUGCUUCCUAUUCACCCGUUAUAGCCAACUUUUAGAGUUGUGUGGCUACACUGGUGACUAAACAAGGAUGAGGAGUAAGUGGAAGGGUGCCAAAUGACAUAGAUAGCAUGCACCAUGAAAUCUCUCAUUGAGAUUAUGGAAUACACUGCAUUCAAGUGCCAAUACAACCUUAUGGCUCCUCGGCGCAAUGAGGAAGAAGAUUGAAAAAUGUGGGAAGAAAUUUGGACUCUAGAAGCUAAUGAGGAUGAGCCUCCCAGUCCAUCCAUGCCCGAAUGGUGUGGGGACAAUGACAUUGACAUAGUUUACCUCCUUGAUCAUGGCAUGUGAUCGACUAGACCAAGUGUGUUAGUUAGUCCUAUGUAAAUGCAUGCAUGUGGUUAAAGUUGUGUACCUAUUUAAGUACCUAGAACAUCUAUAUCUUCACUCCUUUAUUUUUCAUGGAAGUUUACUAUCAUGUCAUUUAUCAUAGUGGAUUAGUUUCUUAAUUUCAUAAGAAGCUAGAAUAACAAGGUUACAUUCACAUAAAGUUGAGUACAUCAAGACCAUCCAUACAACAAUAUGAUUACUUAAACAAGAACAUGAAGCCGAUAAACAUUAUUAAAGCAAAAAAGUUCCCACUAUAUAGUUUCCUUGCUUUUCUAGCUCAAUUACCUUGCUCAUGUUACCAUUCAUCUUGUUCAAAGAAACAAUAAUGUCCUAAUUUUUAGUCACAUAUGACUACUUGUACUCGCUCAUCUUUAGCACAAUCAAUCAUGCCCCUUUCAUCAUGCUAUCUAACUUAAACUUCACGGUGUAGGCAUCCAUUCACAUGACAAAUUUGCAUUGUUUAAGAACCUAAACCAACAAAUUAAACUCAAUUAGAACCUACGCAUGGCAUCAACCGAACUAAUGUAGUCAUUACCACAAUCAAAUGGGCAAGGGAACAUCACCACAAAGAGGAUGGACCUUUCCUAGUUGUGGCUUGCUCUCACACUUCACAAACUCCUGGCUAUACUUGUUAUGCUUUGACCUUUUACAUCUAAGCCUCACUAAUGACUCCAACAUGGACACUUAUGAUAGCGGGUGAGUGGCAUUGACACGUACCUAGGCCAUCCAAUGCCACCGUUGAAAGAGCUGCUCACACGUGACCUGAUCACGAAGAAGGAGUGCUAGUGGAGGGAGGAGCAUGGAGGGGAUGUUAGUUGUGCGAAAUGCCAAAGCGGGAAACCAUGAUGACCGGAGUUGUAGCCUGUCAUCUCGACCAGUUCCAAAGUGAGUAUCACCAUCGUGGGGAGGAGACAUCAGCCGUGGGGAGAGGGAAAGCCAACGAGGGUAGUAGAACCACUGUAACCAUCGCUAGGAACUCCAAAGCGACGAGCGCUAGUGCGGGAACGUGUGUGGAGGGGAUGUAGCCGUGGUAAAGGUCAUCACGGGGAGCAGGGAUGACAUAAAUGAAGUUUGGAGUCGUGGUCGACUGUCGUGACUAGAUCCAAAGCUUCUACCUCUGAUACAGGGUGGGGAUGGCCAUUGCAGAUAGCGUGGAAGUCGAUGAUGUAGAGCGAGGCCACGACUGAUCUUUGAGAGCAGCGUUGGAGUGACAUAGACGAAACGAGACUAGAGGAGGGAAGAUCGAUGGCUUGGGGAGUGGCGUCGUAGAGCGCCAAUAGGGGUCGACAUCUACUUCAAUUUGACUCAAAUGAGGAACAUUUUGAUGUUGACGAUGGGUUUCGUCUGUAAAUGGAUCGAAGCCAUCGUACGUGUAACUGUGUAAGUGACAUCGUGGACAAAAUUACUCCAUAAAAAUAUCAACAUAUAUGAAUGCUACACUAAAAAACUAAGCAAGCGAUGGUUCCACACAACUAAACCAUAUGUCCUAACUCAGAGGGCGAUAGAAAAAAAGUCAAUUAAAGAUCAAAUUUAAAUGCACUAAAGAUAAUAGUUAGCUGUUAAAAUUGACUAGAUAUAUCCAUUUGACCAUACAUCUCGUACUAAUAGUGCAACUAACUAUUAACUGCACCUUUAUCUAUCUAUCUAUCUAUCUAUCAGGUUAUUAUCUAAUUCAAGUAUUUAAUAGUUAAUCAGCCAUUUAUUAGUCAACUAAUUCUACUAACACAUUUUAGCCAGUGAACUAUUAAUUGCAUUCCAACAUGACAUAAAAUACCCUCUCACAACCCGACCCCACCGCUGCCACGUCCACGUGCGCCGCACACGCACCGCCCCGAGCCGAGCUCCCUCGUUUCCCUUUUAUACCCCUCGCCAGUCGCCACGCGCAUUCCCCUCUCCACUAGCUCCGGUCCGAAGAGGGAGGGAGGACCGGAGGAGGACGCCCGUUGCCACUGCCGCGCCGCUCCCGCCUCCCUCUCUCCAUCCGCCGAGCUCGAGAAGCCACCAUGAUCUCCGCGCGCACCGCCGCAGCUUCCCCCGCUUCCCUGGUACGUUCCACGAGCAGCCUAAAGCCCUAACCACCUUCUAGUUUCUACAGCACCUUCCCUCAGCUAGCGAUUGCCGGUGCUCCGCGCGCCGGGCAUCGCAAUUGCGGCUUCUCUCCUCUUCCAGCCAGCCGAAGCUGCCACCUGACUAUGUGAGCUUUGUGUGUGCGUGCGUGCGUGCGUGUGCGCGCGUGUGUGUGUGUGCCUGUUUAUUCUCCGCAGUGGAAGCAGGGAGGACGAAGCGAGGGCGGCGGCAGCUGCGACGGAUGUCGGACUUACAGGAACACUUUGCGGAGGGCCGCAGCAGCGAAGGUGCGUGCCUUGCCGUCGAGGGCGGUGGAGGCGGUCAAAAUGGGCUCCGCCGCGGAGAUGGAGCAGGAGGAGGCGGAGGUGGCCGCG